UGUAGAUGAGUAAAAAUCAGACCAGAAAUAACAUUUUGAAGGCCUUCGAUUAGCCUCAUCUCCUCAGCUUUGUCCAAAGCUAAAUGAAGAACUUCUGUCACUAAAAUAAAUAAGAAUGGAGAUAGCGAAUCUCCUUGACGAAGACCUCUACGGAAUCUGAAUUCAUUGGUAGUUGACCCCUUAAUGAUUACCGCUGCUCGCACCGUAGAUAUGCAUUCCAUCACCAAAUCCUAUCUUGAAUAACACCAACUCCAGAAAAUCCUAUUGAACGCAGUCAUAAGCUUUAGAAAAACCUAAUUUAAAAAUUAGAUUGCCCUCUCUUCCAUCUUUCUUCUUGAUCGAGUGAAUUAUUUCAUUUGCUAUUAAAAUCCCAUCAAAUAUUUGUCUUCCUCUGAUGAAUGUCCUUCGAGACAACACCUUUGACACAAUCUUGUACAAAGAGCUCACCAAACAAAUUGGCCUAAAAUCUGAUAUUUCAUUUGGAUUUUCUACCUUAGGAAUGAGUGUGAUAAAUGAUGAAUUGAUACUCUUCUCAAGCUUGCCCGAUAUGAAAAAAAAAAUCAUACAUCAAUCCGAAUAGAUCCUCCUUUAAAAUCUCCCAACUUUUUCUAAAAAAAACACAAAUUAAAACCAUCCGGUCCAGGUGCUUUUGAUUCAUUGCAACUCCAAACAGCCUCUUUAGUCUCUUCCAUCGAAAAUGGUUCCUCCAAUCUCAAAGCCCAUCUCCUCAUUAAGCAUUUUGAACUUCAAAUCCAAUUCCAUUCUCCACUUUCUUGCAGGGCAAUUAAAAUAAUUUUUGAAAAAAUUGUACAGUCCCUCUUUCAUCUCUUUAGGUUCCUUGUACCAGUGACCCCCAAUUUUCAAGCUAUACACCAUCUUUCUUUUAGCCUUGAUUUUAACUGCUCUAUGGAAAAAAGCACAAUAAGCAUCCCCUUCUUUUAACCAUGUCAUCCUUGAUUUUUGAUGCCAAAUAGAUUCUUUAAAUUUUAUUGCUUCCCAAAGUUCGACGUUCAACUUUUUUAAUUCCUCCGUUUCCUGCUCCGUCAAUUUUAUGUGUUCGCUAGCUUCAUCAAUCUCCUUUAUCCUACUUCGCUUUCUAUAAUUCUUUUUUCCAAAACAUUGCCAGCAUCCACAUUCUAUUUAUUGAGAGCUCCCUUGAGUUUUCGCAAUUUGCCCUUUUAAACUAUCCAUUUCUGACCAUUAAUCCUUCUCAAUUAAUCUCUUACAGUCUUCCUUUUUAAACCAUGCAUUAACGAACUUGAAAGGUCUUGGUCCCUAGUCGAUUGUUUCAUUUACUUUAUGUUAUGUUAAGUAACUUAUUUUUUAGAAGUUUAAUAAAAGUAUAUAAUCAUAGUGAAAUAUUGCAGUUCACAUCAUCUUUCAAACAUUAAUCAUACCUUCAAAAACAAUGUAUUUCAUAAAAACUUUUAUAUAUAAGAUACUUAAGAGUAGAUGUCAAGCUAAGCUAAUUUGAUUUUCCAUAGAAAAUUUUUAAAUAAAAAUUUACAACAACCAAUUAAUAAUAUAAGAAUAAUAAUACUUUAUCUCAUUACUCAAUUAUUAAGUAAGGGACAAAGGAGAUAAUAAAAAAUAAUUUCUCUACAGAAUUAUGAUGUUAGUGAAAUAUUAAAGAAUUCGUGAUUUGUUUUCUAUAUAUAGGGAGGGUUAUUGCAUAUUGAGUCGAAGUUGAUAUCCAACUAUCACUCUUUAGGUUUAUUGCAUUAAAUAAAUCAUGAAAUCUUUCCUUCCUUUCUUUGCAUUCCUCUCACUUCUCCUGGUAAGCUCUUGCAAUUUCGUAUGUAUUUGUACAUACAUAUAUAUAUUGUUAAUUUGUAUAGUUAAUUACAUAUACUUUCAUAUGGAUUCAGUUUGUAGACACCAUUGCAGCAGCUAGGAAAGACGCUGGAGAGUACUGGGGAGCUGUAAUGAAAGAUCAGCCUAUGCCUGAGGCACUCCAAGAACUUGUUCGGAUUGAGGCUGCCGUUGCCAACCCCGAUGAGAAAACCAAGUGCCAUACAUCAGGUAACAUUGAGCUUAAGGAAGAGAAGAUUAUUGUUAAUGAGGAGUUCGAACCAAGGCCAAACAUUUCAGCUUACGGUGAUGACGCUAAUCUAAAAGGAGAUAAAUCAUCAUAUUUUGCUGAAGAUUUUGAACCGAGACCUAACAUUUCGGCUUACGGGGGCGAUGAUGCUGGUCUUAAAGGACAGAAAGAAUCAUUCACUAAAGAUUUCGAUCCACAGCCAAAUAUCUCCGCUUACAAUAACUAAUUAAAAGCGAAACCCAAGUACCAUUGGCUUAGACCCACAUCUUCCAUUAAUUUCGUCAUCAGAUUGUGUGUGAAGCUUUAUGUUUUAUAUUUGUGAAAAAAAUAAGUGGGUUGUUAUGAAUAUCUAUGAUUCUGUGACCACUAUCAUUACAUUAGAAUGGCAAAGGAACUGUUGGUGUUCGUUGUAAUCUCAGCUUGUAACAUCUCUUUCAGCACUCAAUUUCAUUUAAGGAUAUGCACUUUCUUUUUCUUUCUUUUUUGAUUCAACAUAUUGGGAUCUUUGUGACGUUAACUCUUUGGAACAUCAAAUCAACUAUUAUUGCAACAAUUAUUCCAUGCUGAUUGUCAAUUGAGACAGAGAGAAUAAUUUGCAGGUCUACAGGAUAUAUAAAAGAAUAAGUAUAAAAAUAAUAAUAUAUAUUUACAAUACGAUAUUACAUGUGACAAUUAACAUGGCAUAUUAUUAUAUGUUUCAACUACUAAAAUUUAGGUGAACUCUAUCCAUUAUCGUUGUAUAUAAUGGUAAGUUAUAUUACGCUCUUAAAAGUGAUAUUAUAAGUUCAAACUUUGGAGACGACAUUAUUAAGAGGGAUCAUGAACUCCGAAAUGGAAAAUAAUAAUAAAAAAUUGAGGUUUACUCUACCAACUCUUGCAAUUAAUGCCAUCCUCUAAAAAUGGUCGGGCUAUCCGCUUAAAUCCAAAAGUUUGUGCAAAUUUUGGUAAAAAUAUUAGGUUAAAAAAAUGUGUUUGAGCAAAAAAAUAAGCUCGUUUAAAAUACGUGGAGGCUCGAGCCCGGCCCGACUAGACCCAUUUUCUAAAUUUAUAUUAUAUAAUAUUAUUUUAGAUAUUAAGUAAUUUCUACCACUUAAAAAUUAAAUUUAUAGUAAUAAACAAUACUAUAAUAUAAACAUGCUAAAAAUGUUAAAUUGCCUACAUAUAAAAUUUUAAUUAAUAAAAAAUAAAUUAUUAAGUAUUAAUUUAAAGUAACAUAAAUAUUUACAAAAAAUUAAAAAUAAUAUGGGUGGGCCUAAAAUAGGCUUGAGUUAAUCAUUUACAAAUAUAAAUAGCCUUGGUCAAAAUUUAAGUCCAUAUUUCGAGUCAGGCCAAGUUUGGACAAAUAUAAAAUAUGCUAAUAUUAUAUUCAAAAUGUAACACCCUAUAGCCAACCCGAUCGCUAGGUCCGGGGACUAGAUGCUACACUAACCUGAAUGACUUAAUAAGUACUUUUGUUUCUAAUUUAAUUACAGACUAAAACAUUUUAAAAUUUGAAAAUCUAACUACUAUUAAAACUCGUACAAAACUGGUGAAUAAUUCUUACGACCUUGGUUCCAACGUCUACUUACAAUCUUUAGAUUAAGACUCGAAAAUGGAUAUAGUCAACUUAAACCCUAAGGCAUGGACUUUACGAGUGCCCCUCUAUAUACUUGAACAGCUACCACGCACCACUUAACUUUGGUGGAGUCUAACAUGGUCUCUCUUGAUUCUCAAGUCUUUUUCUAACAUGCAUUCAAGCAACAAUUUUAUAAGUUUCGCAAAACUUAGUGAGAUUUGCACAUAACUUUAUGUAAAUCUGCAUGUAUCUUAAGAAAUUAAAGUGUCUGGCUCAAAAUUAAACUCCCUAAAUUUCGUAGGAGGAUUUGUGAACUCAGUUGGCAAGACUAGUGCCUUAGUUACUUUGAGUCAUUCAUUGGCGGACAUAAUCCCUGAUUUGGCCAUGACCUUGAUUUCUCAAUGGGGUCUCACCCCAUCUAUCGCUAAUCUAUAUCCUUAAUAUUCAUAUUCAUUACUCAUGAUUGGCGACGCUCAGUGUUUACCCAAAUAAUUACCGUAAACGUGGGUCCUUACCGAAAUACGAUCCCUUUCUAAUAUUUUGUUUUCCUAGGGGAGCGAGCACUUCCAAUGCAACCCCCAUAGCACCUGUUUUCUCAGUCUAUUCCUUAGAGAGACUACAUUAGGCUUACGGUUUCUACCUUUGGUAGAUCAACAAGAUCCUUACCAUCUUCGUGGUCCUGAUGGACCUCCAUUUUUCAUUAUUAUCUGACAGACUUUACUGGCCAUUCAGCCUUAAGCGUGCAUUUUCUCCCACAUCGAUUCUUAUUGGCCCACCCAAUUUUUCGGCUGACAUUUUGUCAACUUACAAAUUAGGAUUUUAUCCUUUCCAUCCUCCUCUACAUCUUCUUAACCAAAAUGAAUUUUGUGACUUCUCAGGCGGACUCUUAUUGAAGAAAGUCAUGAUUACUAUCUCGUUUAAGGAAUUUCUCCCUCAUUUCACACAGGGCUAAGUUAGGACGCUUCUUAGGCUCUAUUCGCCAUUGCCCUUGGCGAAUCCCCUAGGUAUCCAGAUAUCUUGUGUUCCCAAAUACGCCAGUCCAUCUUGUUAAAUGUUUGGUCACUCAAGUCCCUUUGCGACUCCUCCUUUAUACCUUGGUAAUUUUUUUGGUUAAUAAGUUACGGACUUUACAUGCCGCCAUAACUAAGUUAUGUUCUUACUCAAGAAUUCCCAAGUCCAUCAUGUUAAAUGUUUGGUCACUCAAGUCUCACAUUUUAUAUCCCGGUAGACUAUCUCGUGUUUACUGUCCCUAUGGACUACCCCUUAUUUACUAUCCCAGUAGACUUUACUAGUUGCUAUAGUCGAACUAUGGUUUUACACCUUAUAAUUCUCGUGUUUAUUAUUUCGAAAGAUUCUAUUGGUUGUCAUAGCCGAGCUAUGGUCUUACAGUUUAAACCUCUUUGAGGUGUCACCUCAAAGGACUUUACCACUGUCGCGAUGUCGCCCCAUAAAGCUUGUUGAUUAUCACCGCGGUGUUGCUCUAUGGAACCUAAAAACAGUUGUCACGGUGUCACCCCGAAAGACCAGUCGAUAUCAUUCUAUUCCUUAUUUAACCUUGAUGCUCGAACACCACAGUGUCCCCUCCGCAAGGCUAGGAGUUUCGCAUAUCAUGACUUGCACCCAAUAAUAGCGUAUGGUGAAAUAUUAACGGAAUUCCAUUUCCUUGUCCAUUUGCCCAUUCCUCCAGUUCGCCAUAACUACUUUAAUGCUUGAACACCGAAGUGUCCCCUCUACAAAACCUAGAGCUUCGUACAUUACAGUUUGCACCCAGCGACACCGUAUGGCAGUAUACAGAGUGUCCAUUCCUAGUCCUAACUUCAUCUAACCCACUAAUAAUCUCCCAUUCAUACCCCACCGUUUAAAUAUGCAAUACAUGACAAUCAUGAACGUAUUAUCAUAGAGUACGCUACUUUUCAAACAUAAAAUCUCAACCAUUUCAUACAUACUGACACACUAAUGGAUAUUCAUAUACUUACUCAACCUUAUGCAUGCUUAGCAUUUACAACCAGUAGAAUUCAUACAUCAUCACAAUACUCAACACAUAAUCAUGCCAGCAUACAACAUUUCAGGGAUGGAGUACAGAUACUCGCCUUGCUUUAUUAUCCUUGACAGUUUAGCUUGUCCUGACAGCUAAGCAUGACAACCAUUUACCGGUUAAACUAAAGGUGUUCAACCCUUAAAACCUAGAAUCCAUAAUUAUUCAGAAGCUUUUAAGAGUUCUUACUUUACUUCUCUUUUCAAUCUGCAAGUACAGAGAGGUAAGAAAACUUACUAGUUGUUUAAUUUCUCUACUGCCAGACUUCAAUUUACAUGAUUACUACGACAUACGGAGAUUUUUUCAGUUAUAUCCUAUUCUUCUUCAGAGAGAUUGAAGAAGAUUAUGCUAUGGUGGGAUAAAUUGGUAAAUAGAAUUGAGAGGAUUAUGUCUCUACACACACCUAUUUAUAUACUUCUUUGGCAUGAUCUUCAUCGACCGUCACAACAUUUCAUCCAUAAUCAUUUUGUCUCCCACUAUAGAACCAGAUGGUUCUCACCUAACUAAAUUAGAAUUGAAGUCCAACUAGUCACAAUUCAACCCUUAAAAAUUUUAAAUUUCUCAGUGGGGUUCAAAAAUUUGCUAAUCCUUUCAAUUUAGUCCUAACCUUCCUUAAAUCUUGGGUUAAUAGUGUAACACCCCUUACCCAGUCCGAUCACCGAACUUGAGUAAUAAGAUGCUAUAAAAAAACCAAACAAUUACAUACAAAUUAUAAUUCAAAAUCUCAAUUAAUUAUCAAACAAUUCAUAAAUAAUCAAGUUAACAUGUGAUUCAAACAAUUUCGGGUUAAUAUCAAGCUUACAAAAGCUUAAAACCAACUCAAUAACAGACAGGGAUCAUUUUGAAACUAAAACAAAAAGUUGGGAACAAUCUGUAAAUAGAGGUCACACGGUUGUGUCCUUUGGCCGUGUGGAAAUGCUAAUGCCGUGUGGGAUGGGAUACAUGGCCGUGUAGAUAAACCAUGCAACAAACUGAUGUCAUGUAGAGUUAAAGUCACAUGGCCAUGUGAACAACCGUAUACUCUCACUAAGGUCGUAUGGGUCAAAAGUCCAAAUAUUCUAAAAUGUGUCACACAGCCGUGUCGUUGGGUCGUGUAUCAGACUGUGUCUGUGUGCACCAAAAUCACCUAAAAACUUAUAAACCACAGGGUCGUGCCAUAGGUCCGUGUAUGGCACUCAGCCGUGUGUACUUGGAAUUACCUUUUAAUGCAAGAUUUCUACCUUAGCUCACUUAAGCAACAAGCAAUCGUUCUAAACCACAUUCAACCAAAUCAAAAGCAUCUAAAUCAAACCAAAAUCAUCAUUUAAAAUAACUACCCUGAGUACCUAACCAAUAUACCACAAUUGGCAACUCAAUUCACAAUUCAAAAUCAACCAAUUUAUCACAUUCAUCCAUACCAAUAUGCCUUCAAGGCACCUCAACAAGUUCAACCAAACGUAUGCCAUUAAACCUUUUUUAAUACAUAAUGAACCACUCAAGUUCAAUCACAAAUCAUACACCAAAAUUUACCAUUCAAUACAAAAUCAACAAUAGCAUACCAUUAUUCAUCACUUUCAACUAAAUACCAAUCGACCACAUCACCUAACAUAUUAUCAAAUCAACCUUUAGACCAUGAAUCACAUAUACCAAAUUAAUUUAGUAAGACAUUAACAACAUAACCUUUCUCAUCAUAUACAUAAUCUCCAAUUACCAAUAAAAUACAAAAGGAUCAUUAUAGCCAUAAAACAUCCUAGGUACAUGCCAAAACCAAAAUGAACACAUCACUAACACUUGAGUUCAAGAUUACCAUUGGAUGCUAAGUCGAUGAUCAAAUCGUAAGGUACCUAACCUGUGUACGAAAAAUAAAAUCGAGCGUUGAGUAUAACUUAGUGGUAUUUCUAUAAUCCAAACACUAUAACAUAACAUAAGACAUUUGAGUAGCAUAAGUUAAAAAUGCAUGAUGUUAUUCCAUUUAAUAUGUCAUCUAACCAUUUCUCGUAUUCUUGGAUCAAAACAAUUAUAACUUAGCAAUAUCUAAGCAUGACCAACAACUUGAAAUACCACAAAUAUACAUUCAUUUUCACAUAUCACUUCCAUUUACUAACUAUUUGUCAUUUCAAUAUAAAUUUCAUAUUUCUAUUGAUCAUUCAAUCACUUGAAUUUUGAAGACUUAUCCAACAUCAACAUUCCAAUUAUAAACAUUCCGUUUUUAUCAUUUAUUCAAAUACAUGAUAGCAUUGAUAAACUCAACAUGUCAAUUUUAUGUCAAUUUUUUAUUUAUAUAAAUAUACACAUUUCUUCACAUAUGUUCAAUUUAGUCCACAUGAACAUAAAUCGACUCAAAUUAAUCCAUUACAUCUCAUAAUCACAAAGUGUCUCACCUUAUGUUCUUACCAUGCACAAACAAUUCAAUAUGUAGUAAUUUAGAAGUAGUUCGGGUUAUAGAAACUCAAACUGUAAACUCCAAGCUAUUCGUUGACGACUUUGCCUUUUCCUUUCUUUUUUGAGGAAUCUAGGUCGAUGUUAAUAAAUUGAGGGACUAAGUAUUGAAACCCUAGGAAAACCUCUCCCACCCGUUGAAUUCCUUGAAGAAUUUAGUGAAGGAUAGAUUUUGAAGAAGAUAAUGCCUUUUCUUUCUUUUUCUUUUCACUUUCAACAUGUUUUACCUUAUUUUACCUUAUUUUAUUAUAUAUUUAUUAUAUUUUCUUCAAUUAUAAGAUACAUUGUUGUCCACUAUAAAUCCUACAAUGGUUUAAUUGCUUUAUAGGUCCCUUAGUCUUUUUCUAAUUAAUGAUUCCUUAAAAAUUACACUUUUGACACUUUUAUGAUUUAGUCCUUGUACCCUAAUUAAGCACUAAUUCGAUAAAAUUACUUGACCAAAAUUCAAUUAACUUCUAAUAUACCUUUAUAAAUAUUAAAUAAAAAUAUUUAAAGGUCCAUUUAUGAAAACAGGGUCCUAAAGCCACACUUUCUGAUACCACUGACUUUUGAGUCGUUACACUUGUACCUUAAUUAACUAUCAAUUAAAAAAAUUAUUAAACAAAAAUUUAAUAUAUUUCUAUUCUAGCCUUGUAAAUAUUAAAUUUACGAACAAGUUUACAAAAAUUACGUUUUCGAACUGGAGUUUCUAACACCACUGGAAACGGGGUUGUUACAAAUAGAAAUAGUCGGGUGUUACACAAAACCCGAUUCAGUCUAACCCAUGAACAUCUUUACUUGGAAGUAAUAGUUAAGGCACCCAGUCACGAAAAAGUUAGAUUGAAAGAGGGAGAUCCCUUGACCAAUUAUAUUGUAACAUCUGUGUUAUGCCUCAGAGUUAGGUACAAUGAUAUAUUGGGUUAGGAAAUAGUAGGGAAUUUUUGAAAUAGAUAAAAUAAGAAUUUUAAGUGUCAAUUUAGAAAACAGUUAGAGUUGAUAAGAAAUUAGGAAAUGCUUAUUAGAUGAGAAAACUUGAUUUAGGACAUUGACUAAAUUAUAGGAAAAUAGAAAUUGAUGGGGCAAAAGUGAGAAAAUCAAAAGUUUGAAAUAAUUACAUGGAAUUGGUGGAAAAGGAAGAAGGACUAGGGGUGAAAUUUUACAAAAAAAAGGUAUGAUUCACAUAUUAUGAAAAAAGGUAAAAGACAAAAUGGUAAUUAGCUAAGUUAGAUAAUUAUGAAAACAUAUGAUUAAAUGAUGAAAUUGUUUUGAAAUGGGAUUGGUGGAUUAAUUUGUAAAUUAAUAAAAAAAUUAUUAAAUUAAGAGAUAUUUUAGUGGAAUUGUGUAGAAAAUUGAAGAGAAAAGAUGAAAAUCAUUCAUCUUUCCCAUUCCCAUGCCACAACCAUUUUUCUCCACCUUUUGGACUUUUGUUUUUAUUACAUUUAGGUCCCUCUACUAUUUUUGAACCUUUCUAAGUUUAUUUCUUCAAGUUUCUUUCAUGUUUCCUUAGCAAAAUUAAUAUAGGAGUUUACUGGCUACCUUAAUUUCAUGAGAAGAGUCUUCAUAGAUGUAUUGAAGGAGAGAGAAAGUAAGAAUUAAGUUGUGAUUUCAAGUGACUAAGGUAAGAGAUGAUGAAAUCUUCAUGACAUACAUGUUUAUUUCAAUAAAAUAGCAUAAUAAAGUUAUUUGAUUAUGGUUUUAACAUGAAUAUAUUAUAUGUUUUGAUAUGAAAUUGAAGAAAAAGAGAAGAAGUGUGAGGAUCAAAUUGAAGAAAAAGGAAAAAAGGUGAUCAAUGAGUAAGAAGAAAGGAAACCUUAUUAUCUAAGCUUUGGUUGUAAGUACUUUAAGAAUUUUGCCUUGUUUAGUUUUAAUUUAGCUAAAAAUUAUGCUAUUUAGAUGUUUUAAUUACUCGUGUUAUAUGAAUUUAUGAAAUAAUUGUUGAUGGAAAUCUCUGUAAAUUAUGUAUAUUCUAUUUUAUAAUGUGAAAAUGAAGUAAUACAUACUACUGGUGAAAAAGUGACUAAAUUGAAAAGAAAGCAAAUAUAUCAUAAAAAUUUGAAAUGCUAAAAAUGGGGUUUAUAUGAAAAAUAUUAAAGUUAUGAUGUUAUGAAUAUUAAUUAUGUGAUGAAAUCUACAAGUUUGGCAUAUAUAUGAUAGAGGACUAAAUGGUAAAAAGUGACAAAUUACAGUGUAUCUUUUGAAAUGUAUUAAAUGCUACAAUUCUUGGAAGUAAAGCCCAUGUAGACGAGAUGUGAACUAUUAGGAUAAAAUGACAUGCCAUUAAGGAUAUUUAGUGCGCCCUUUGUUCUAUUAGCAUUUUAGUGUCCUCUGUUUCAAUUGCGCUACUAUGCCCUCCGCUCUGACAUUACACUUCGGUGCACAUAUGUUCUGUUAAUACACUUUGAUGCAACUUUGCAUUUGUUUCCAUAUGUUCUAAAUGUUCUAUUUAGUCUACAGUGGGUUAUUGAACAAAAUGUGGUCUAAACGAACAGAAAUGUAACAUGGUAAGUUAUUGUAAAUGUUUGAAAGGAAAAGAUUGAAUUAAUGAUGGUGAUGAACAAAAAUUAAUAUAUAUAAAUGUAAUGUGUAGUAAUUUAUAUAACUAAUAUUUUUUAAAAUUCUUGAUGUACUUACUAAGCUUUCACCGGCUUAAUGCGUUUAUUUUUAAGGCGUAGGUUAAAGAUAGAUUUGGAAAGUUAGAACUGAGGUCGUGAUCAGCUCAUCUCAUCACAUCGCCAAGCUUGGAGAAGAGUAUGACACUAAAUUUUGGUUUAGUUUGGCAUGUACAUAGGCUAAAUAGUGUGUGAAUGUGAUAAGUGUCAAAAGUAACAUAUUUUAGCCUAAUUCUAUGUAUCUUUGGGUGAUUACGUGGUGUUAGUUGUGAAUUAUAUGCUCUUAAUCCUUUAAGUUCAUGUUUUGAAGCUUGAUAGAGCAUUUGGGAGCAAUAAAAGCAAAAAAAGAGUGAAAAUCAGAACAUUGGAGAAGUCCGGAAGUUGCACAUGGGCAACAGAGUUUUACACGACCAUGUAGGCCACAUAGGCUUGUAGGGCAUGUGGAUUUCAGGAACCAUGUGUGUUGAUAGCUAAAAGUUCUAUUUUUUAGGUUUUUGGCACUUUAAGAAGGUAUAAAUAAGAUAAUAAAAAGGAAAGGCAGCAGCCGUCAUAGAAUAGCACAAAAUUACCCAAAAGAACACCAUUAAAAGGGAUUUCCAAGCAAUUCGCCAUCAAGAUUCAAGAGUCUAAGUUGAUUUCUAAGAGAGUUAUCAUGGGUUUAUUUUAUUUCAGUGGUAAUAUUAUAUUUUUGGUGUUUCUUCUUGCAAGUAUGAACUAAAUUUCUAAAUACAUAGGGGAGAUGAAUCUUAGGAUGGAUUCUAUUGUUUGAUUUCUAGUUUUAUGCAAUAAAACCUUAGUUCUUUAUUUUCGAUUAUGAAUGCUUAAUUGUUAUUGGGUUGAUAAUUCUAGAGUAUUAAUCCAUGUUUCAUGUGCAUGAGUUUGAGGUUGAAUAGACUCUUUUUAUGAUUAGAUCUUGCAUAAUUGGACGGAGUUGCAUGCAAUCCUAGAAAUAAGACGACAUAAAUCUAUUGGAUUAGAGUCAAAUCUAAUAUGGAGAUCCAUAGAGCUAAUUAAUGCAAUAAUAAGUGUUUUAAUUAGAAAGAAAUUUCAAUUAAUCAAGCUAGAGUUAGUUGCUCUUAUGCUUGAAAGAGAUAUUAACAUAAAUUAGGGAUUUCUAUGGAUCAAAGAACUAAGAACAAAAGUUGCAUAAAUUAGAUAGAGAAUUAUAUAUGAAAUCUAGGUAGAUUCUUAACUAGGAAUUGUUGUCACUUGAUUGACAUUUGAUUAUUUUUGUGAUUUAUUUCUUUGACGCACUUGUUAGUUAAUUUAGUUAGUUAAGUUUAGUUUUAAUUAAUAUUUUGAAUUAUUAGGUUAAACGAUAGGAAGACGAUAAAUACUAGUAAUUGUAGUCCUUAAGGGAAUGAUAUUUGUGCUCACCAUAACUAUACUAUUAAUUGAUAGGUGCACUUGCAUUAGUCGAUAUAUUAGUUAGUUUAGUGGACAUUAGAAUGGGUAUGAAGGACCAAGAUAAAAACUUUGCAAACUUUAUAAAUUCUGAGAACUUAAACAGAAACUCAAUAUGCUUGUGGUGUAUAAUAAUAAGUGAGUGAUAUGAAUAAUUUAUAUGCUUAAAUUUAAAUUGGUUUGGUUGCAUUUGAAAGUUGUAGCAGGGACUUAGAGGUAAAAGUUAUAAAAUUGGCAAAGAAAACUUAAAUUUUCAAAUAAGGACACGAUUCUCGAAAUUUACUCAGGCCAACCACACGGCAGUGUGGCAGACACGGGCUAUGACAUGGUCGUGUGAAUACUGGAAGCAAAUAUUUUUGGAACCGCACGGUUCCCGAGAUCCACAUAGCCCGAGGACACAACUGUGUGCCCUAUUUUUCACAAUAAUCCUUAUCUAACCUUAGAAUAUUAUAUUAAAUGCAAAUAUGUUUUUAAAAGAAAUUAUUGAGCUCAUCCCUAAUCUUGGCAAUUAAUUAAAAAUAUUCAAUAACUGAUAAUUUCACUUUGAACAAAAAAUCAAAGUCUAUUAUUCUGACAAUCAAUGUAGCAUUCCUAUACUUGAUUCGAUUAUAGUGCCGAGUACAAGGGUGUUAUAUAUAUGAUGAUUAAGAGAUGUUCAAUAAUCUUAAGAUAUCGUUCAAAGAGAAACUAUUGGGAUCCAUCGUUAUGUCACAGACAACAAAUGAUUCUUAUCAUUGUGAUUGGCGACACCAUAAAUAAGGUUAUUAGGAUUGAUUAUAAUAUUGAUAGUGGCUCUAGAGGCCAUUUUGUUCGAAUGGAAAUUUUCAAGAAGUGAAAUAUGAAGCUUUCAAAAUUCAAAUUAACAAUACAGGGUCUAAUAGCAAAAUUUGACCAAAACAAUAACAAUAAUGGGCCACAGCUGAGCAUUUCAAAAUGCGGCCCAAUUUAUAACUACAAUAAUGCACACUAUUAUGCUUUCGGCUCAAAUCAACCAAAUUUUACACUGAACCGACUGAAAACCCUUUUCCCCAUAGAACCAAACCCCGCGACCCGUGAUGGAGGAGAAACGCCGGGAUGCGGUUAACUCCCCGGCGGAACCGGAGCUGGCAUCAACUCGCCGUCGGGGUGGAGCGCUGAAGAGAAAAGUUAAUUCGCUUUCCGGGUCUAGUUCUUCAUCAACUCCGUCGAAACGGGUUACUCGGGAGAAGUCAAACUUGAUCUCCCACUCUCCCGUUAACCAUUACGGUCCGUUAACCAGGGCUCGCCAAGGGGCCCCUAGUGGAAACCUAGCCUUGGGUUCGAGUUCGGGAUCGGGUGGCGCAAAGCUUGAGGAGACGAAUUUGGUGAAACAAAGUGUAAAGGCGGAAGAUUUGGAAGAAUUAAAGGCAAGUGAAGAGUUGGAGGCUUUGGAAGCUAAGAUUGAGGCUGAUUUUGAGGCUAUUAGGUCUCGUGAUAGUAAUGCGCAUGUUGUUCCUAAUCAUUGCGGUGAGUUUUUUCUUUUCCCCUUUUUCUUUUCCUUGUUUGGUUGAUGGGAAAAUGGGCAGGAAAGGGAAUGAAGGGUGAACUUUUUGUUUUACAGCUUUAGUGAUGUGAAUUCUUUCUUGGGAGGUAGUGAAUUGGAGAAAUUAUGUGGAAAUUUUUUUCGUUUUCUGUUGAUUUAGAGCUCAAUUUAGUUUGUAUUGUAGUUUUUUUGUCUCAAUUGUGGAAAACAAGAAAAAAAAUAUUGAAUGUGUUUUCUUGAAUAGUUAAUUUGAGAGUUUAUUUCUUUAUUUUUUUCUAUAUGCUAUAUGAAUUCCAAGUCUUUUUUAUGGUAUUCACAAUGAAAUGGUACAUAAGUAUUCAUCCAGUUUGUUCUGCUCAUUUCUUAUCAGCCAUGCAUGAGAAUUAGACCUUGCAAUAUUAGACACGAUAUGCAAAACAUAAGUAAAAUAUUACACAGAACCAAAAAUAAAAAUAAAAAAUCCAUACUACACAAAUACAUGAAUGUCUCAGAAUCCACUUAAACAUGAUUAUGACAUAGGAAAAAACACGAUUAGGUCACAGUACUCAAGCUGCAAUGAAAAUGAUGAUCUUAUUUUCAUUAGCAGAGAGCAAACUAGGGCUAAUAACUGACUUUAUUGGAAGCAUCUUAUUUUGAAGCUAUAAAGAUUGAAAAAGAAGAAACUGAACUAUUAGAUUCUUUGGUGUUUCCUCAUGUUGGUUUUUGUAUUCAUCUUCUCUUUGUAUUUAUAGGAUGGUUUUCAUGGACAAAAAUUCACCAUCUGGAAGAGAGUAUCUUGCCUUCUUUCUUUAAUGGGAAAUCCCCAAAUCGUACCCCUGAUGCAUACAAGGAGAUUCGCAAUUGGAUUGUGAAGAAAUUUCAUGCAAAUCCAAGCAAGCAGAUUGAGUUGAAAGAUCUGGAAGAUCUUGAAGUCGGUGACUUGGAUGCAAGGCAGGAGGUAUUGGAGUUCCUGGACUACUGGGGUUUGAUUAAUUUUCAUCCAUUCCCUCCAGCUGGUUCUGCUGUGCCUAAUCCCAAUGGGGAUGGGGAUGGAGAUGGGAUGACAGAAAAGGAUUCUUUGCUUGAAAAUUUGUUUCACUUUGAUGAAAUUGAAUCACGCCCACAAGUUGUUACCAAGCCUAACCUUUCAAGCCCAUCUCUACCAUCUGGGCUACUUCCAGAAUCUGCGGUCGCUGAGGACUUGAUGAAUCCGGAGGGGCCAUCUGUUGAGUACCAUUGCAACUCUUGUUCAGCUGAUUGCUCUAGGAAACGCUACCAUUGCCAGAAGCAGGUUAGUUACUGAACACUGACUAAUAAAUAAUUGUAUGAGCCUCAAAUUAUUUAGAUCACUAUGAAGAGAAAAAUAACUGCACUAAUCUUUCUAAGUAUCCUUAUGGUGGUAGCCAAUGUUUCUACAUUUCCUGCAUUGAACUCAUACAUGCUUACUUCUACGAAAUCAAUUUGUAUGACAUCUUCAGCUCAAGCCAAGUGAUAAAUAAAACUGGAAAUCCACGAACUUUCUUUGCUAUUGAUCUUUGUCCAACAAAUAAGAAAUCAGCAUAAAUGGUUUGCGCCACCUGCACGAUCUGAUAUGCACGGCUUUCAAUCUUUGAAUAAUGUGAAUGAUUAAAAUGGAAAGAAUAACUAAUUUAGUAAAUCUGUUUUAUUUAUUGACUUAUUGUUCCGUUCUUUAUGAUCCAAGUAUGUUUGUAUUUGGCAGGCAGAUUUUGACUUAUGUACUGAUUGCUUUAACAAUGGGACAUUCGGUUCUGGCAUGUCUUCAUCGGAUUUUAUUCUCAUGGAACCUGCUGACCCUGGUCUUAGUGGCGGCAAGUGGACAGAUCAGGAAACCCUUCUCCUUCUUGAGGCACUUGAACUUUAUAAAGAAAACUGGAAUGAGAUUGCAGAGCAUGUUGCUACGAAAACAAAAGCACAAUGCAUACUGCAUUUCGUUCAAAUGCCAAUUGAGGAUGUAUUUUUUAAUUGUGAUGAUAAUAACAUAGACACGAAUUCAAAAGAAACUGCUGGCCCAGCUGCCAUGAAUGAUGAAACAACUGUCCCUAAAGAUGUCUCGGAAACAACAGAGAGUAAGACUACUCAAGAAGAUCAGGCCCAGACUACGCCGAUGGAAACUUCAAAACCUGAAGAUGAAAAAGAAGUCAGGGGUAGUGAGGAACCAUCAGAAACCAAAACUGGAACUGAUGCAAAAGGUGUUAAAGAAACAUUAAAACCAGAAGAUAUGAAUGUACGAAAAGAUGGACUAGAAGCAACUGAAAAUUGUGCCCUUACAGCAAUAAGGGAGGCAUUUGAAGCUGUCGGUUAUAAUUUAACAUCCGAAAGCAAACUUUCAUUUGCUGAUGUAGGAAAUCCUGUCAUGGCAUUGGUAAGUUGAAUGCGUAAGUAUUUAGUUUAGGUUUUAUUGAUUGAUGUAUAUGAAGGGAAAACUGAGUUCAUUUACAGAUCUAAAUUUAUCCAUUUUGUACAUGGCUUCUGAAAUAGUAUUCUCAUCUUCGACUUAUUUCACCAUUCAUCAUUUACCUCAUCUAUUUGUUGGUGAUAUGGUACAAACAUAGUGUUGCUCCAUUUGCAGGCAGGAUUCUUUGCACAUCUGGUUGGACCCAACAUUGCUGCUGCUUCAUCCCAGAGUUCACUUAAAUCAUUAUCUGGUACUUGUCCGAACAUUCAACUGGCUGCCAGGAAUUGCUUUGUUUUGGAAGAUCCACCAGAUGAGAAGGAACCAACAUGUUCUAAGAGGUAUGUUAACCUAUGCCAAGCUUAUAUUUACUUAGCAAUUUUGUGAACGUUAUCUGAUGUCAGUUAGAGACACACAGUGUCGCCAAUGAUACGGGUAAUCGGGGUGCUCAGAAUGUGAAACACUCGGGAGACGAAAGCCUCAAGGGGGAUCAGAAAAGUUCAUUGAGCCACCAUGGUGACGAAAACACUGAAGUCUCUCUUCGUGAAGAGAAUGCGACAUCGCCUUCACCCAAUGACCUAACCACGGAUAAAAAAGAGUCAAGCAAUUUUGCCACUAAUGAGGAAGAUAAAAAAGCUAAUUUGAAUGAAUCCAGCAUUAUUAAUCAAUCAAAGGAUCAUCAACCAAGUGUAACAAGGGUAUCAAAUAACUUAACAUCCCAGGUUCUACCAAGUUCUCUAGAGGAGACAGGUGGGAAGGAAACAGCUAAAGAACCUUCUCAGCCUCCAAAAGCAGUGAAGGAAGUAGAUAUGUCUGGUUCUGUUCAACUGAAAAAGAAUGAGCCUUGUGAUGCCGCUGCAUCAAAGCCAGUGGGAGAGCUAUCGGAACCAGCAAAUGCAUCAGAAAAUCUAGAGACAGCUUCCUGCUCUCCAUCCAGAUCAAAGAAUGAGCAAAAAACUGUUAAACCAAUCCCUGAUGGGGAAUCUACGGAGCCUGCAGAUGCAUCAGAUGAUGUUCAACUGGUGUCUGUUUCACAACCAUCUGAAAGGAGUGAACCUCCACAGCCAGUCACAUCGAAUUCAGUAAAUGAAAAUGGAGUAACGACAGGUUUCUCUCUUUUCUUCUAUAAAUAUCUUGUUAGAAAGUGGAAGCCGCAUUAACAGAAUCUAACUCUACUGCAAAAUGCUUAGCAAUAUCUUAUGGGAAUAUGUAGGGAUAGAUAGCGUCUGAUUUAAAAUAUACAAAGAAGGCUAAAAGGAACAGUUGGUUCUAUAAGGUUGAGCGUUUGCUAUCUUUAUUGGUUUUACAUAGAGCAGCUAGGAAAAUUGAAACUUGAUACAUAAUGUUGUUUCUACUAGGUUCUGUAGAAGUAUGUAUUCUAAGAACCACCUGCUGGCAAAAUGCAUAGAUCAAUUUUGGGUGUAUCUUAUUGUUCUUUGCAGACAAGAUCGAAGAAGGUAAAAGCAAGAACCAUGACUCUACAGAGAGAGAAGAUAAUAGUAGCAUUGAUAAAUUAAAGAGAGCUGCAGUUACAGCACUCUCAGCAGCAGCAGUGAAGGCAAAACUUCUAGCAGACCAGGAAGAGGACCAAAUCCGACAACUUACCACAUCAUUAAUAGAAAAGCAGGUAGGUUAGUUGCUAAAUAUAUGCACUCUGUUUUUCCUAUGCACAUCCAACUGGAGCAACGUCUAACGUUUUAGAACCUUUAACUCAAUCUAGUUACAUAAGAUGGAAGCCAAAUUAUCUUUCUUCAAUGAGAUGGAGGGAGUCGUAAUGAGGGUGAAGGAGCAAUUGGACAGGUCAAGGCAAAGGCUUUACCAUGAGCGAACGCAGAUAAUUGCUGCUCGACUGGGCUUACCAGCUUCCUCCUCUAGAGCAAUGCCGCCACCAAAUGCUGCAAAUAGAGUUGCAACAAACUUUGCAAACUCGGUUGCAAGGCCUCCAAUGAGCAUGAAAGCCCCAAGACCACCAUUGUCGAGACCCAUGGGUUCUAUGACCCCUACCCCUUCCAACCCAUAUGUAUCCAAUACAGUUGCAGGGAGUUCAAUUCGACCUGGUAGCCAAGACAAUCUUUCCUCCGUUGGAACCAAGUAGUCUCUAUUCAUAUUACUUGUGAAUAGAAUUUUUCAAUCCAUUCUUAUACAAGGGUCAUCCAUCUUGAGAUGCAUCUGGUUAGUACCCCCUUUUUUUAUUGUUGCAGUUUCUGUUCUUAACGCUGCCAGUCAUCUUGGGUGCAUUUAAGAACUUGAGAAUAUACUCAAGCUGAACUCAUGGCAUAUUCAUAUCUGAUGUUUUCUGCUAAUUCCAGCCACACCACUGAUUUAUCUCCGGAUACUGCGGCCUAUAUUACAUAAUUGACUGGCAUCAUAUCAUCAUAGGAGGAAGGAGUAGAUGGUUAUUGUUCUCCCUUCAAUCCUAAUCUAGUCAACAACAGUCUAUAGCCUAUGUCUAACUUGGAAUUUUCUUCAAUGCUUUUGUCUUUUUGUAAGUCUAGUUUGUAGUUGAUAUUUUGAGACCUCAAAUGAAGAAUUUAGGUACUGCAAAGUUAAACAUCCGUAACCAUACCAAAUUCUUAGGUCAUCUUUAAGGUCAGAUAUAACCAAUGUAUUCUAUAUUUAUGGAUGAACAGAUGUGUUUUUGUUGUUACAAAAUGGCGUAAAUCUCUUGGUUUGAAGCUCCCUUUUCUCACCUGUAAUGUCUUUCUUUAGUGUCAUAUAUCCAACUACCCAAAUUGCAUAAUAUGCCUCUCCAAGAACACCACACAGCAGAGGCGGGAAAGUUAUAUCUGCUGAAAUCAGGCUGCAAAAUAAUUUUAAUUUUCUGAAAAACUGAUAUUUUCUUAUGUUUGAUUGUAUGAAAAAUAUCCUUUGAUAAUUUUUUCUAAAAUAAUUUUUUAAAUGUUUUUUUUUUUGUAAAAUAAAAUCAACAUAAGUAUAUUUGUUUUAGAAAAUUGAUUCUAUAAUAAGAUAAUAUUUUGUAAUAAUUAAUAUAUUAUAUAAAUUUUAGAGAAUGAAUGGUGAUAGUUUAUUAAUAAAUAUUUAUAAAAUGUAAUAUGUUUUUUUAUUAAAAUAUUAAUAUAAAUAUCUUUCAAUAACAUAUUAACGAUUUAAAAUUCAAAAUUGUUGGUAAAAUGUAUUAUUAAAAUAAAAUUUGUAAUAUUAAAUAAUUGAUUAAAAUAAUAAAUUAUAUUAAUUAUAUAAAUAAUUUAAUAUGCAUGUUUAAUAAUAAUUGAAUAUUAUACAAUUUAUAUUAAUAUUUUAGUAUUUUAAAAAUUAAAAAUAAAAAAAUUAUAUUAAUAUAUUAAUAAAAGGCAUGAUUCAAGUAAACUAUUAUAUAAAAAUAAAAUUACUUACAAAUAAAUUCUUUGCAAAAAAUGACUUAUGCUUGAAGUCAAUUAUCAAGAAAAAUAGUUUAUUUUCAUUGACUUGUAAGUGAUUUUGUUCUCCAUAAAAACAAAUAUAUGAAAAUAAAGAAAAUAUUUUCAAUAAAACAAAGGUAUUCAAAUUAUUACAAUUAAAUUAAUGGUUGGACCCAGUCAAACCACUUAUUUGACUGGUCUAACAAAUUGAUUUAAUUUAAUUAAAUAAAUUAUUAAAAACUCGUUAAAAAUAAAAUAAUAAUAAUUUAGUCGUCAAAUCAUGCGAUAGGUCAUCUUUUUCCAAUGCCCAAUCAAAUAGAAACUUUUUCCAAUAUUGCUGAGUUGAAGGAGAUGAUUGUGUAAAGCAAGAUGCAUUGUUACAAAUCACAAUUCUUCAACACAAUCAAUAGACAGAUUAACAACUGAACCAACCUUUAUAUUCAAGCACAAGAAAAAAUUAUUUUAACUUAACACUAAAUCAAAUGUAUAGCUUAGUAUGAGACUCAACCUAUAAGGUAAAAAAAAAAAACUCUACCUAUAAUUUUGAAAUUAUUUAAGAGAAUACACAUUUUAGUUUUUUUAUAUUAUUUAUGUUCGUUUUAUGAUCUAUAUUCGAGGUAUUGUCUUCAAAAUUAAAACCUGCAUCUUUUCCUUAAAAGUGCAACAUAUCUUAUCAUUAUACCUCACCACUUAUUGCUCUUGUUUUGCUGAAAGUUAUUAAAAAAAAUGUGUUUCAUUACUGUAUCUCCUAGUAUUAAAAAAGUCUAGGCAUUGUAAUAGUACAAAAUUUUAUUUUUAAUUAUUAAUUUUAAUAUUUUAAUAUUAUUUUCAAUAAUGAAUUAGGUAAGGAAAAAAAAAGCUUUGGGGUUGUUACUAAUUGGCUCAAAUCUAGUUUAUAUUACCCUUAAAAGUAAAUUAAAAUAAUAGUUAAAAUUCAAUAAUGUUGACGUUUAUAAUGAUUUAAAUUAGAUGAUGUCUCUAUUUCACCUUCUCCAUUUUAUAACCAAUAUGGAUUACAGAUGUUCAUAUAUAUAUAUAUAUAUAUGUAUAUAUAGUUAAACAUACUUAAAUAUAGAUCCUUUUAUAUAUUAUAAUAAUAUUGAUAUCUACGUAAUUUAUUACAAUCAAGCCCCUAAAAUCUGGCAUGGUUCCAACUUAACGAAAGCAAAAAGGGGGCAACAUUAUUGAUGGAAUAAACAAUCACUCGUAAUCCAUAGAAGAAGAUAAAAAGCUAGCAAGAUAAUCAUCUUAAUCGUGAAUUACAGUCACAUUAUACUCAACAAUGGCGUCGCCAGUCUUGAAAUUCACGGAAUAAGUCUUGAGUUGUGCAUACCCUUUUGCCAUCCUGAACUUCCCUUUCCCUCCGACCACCGCAAGCUCACGCUCCGAUUCGGUAAUUGGAUUCCUCGACAAAACACUGAUAGAGCUGCCGUUGAAUUCACCUUUCGUAAACCCCAUGUCCAAGUACGCCAUCAGAGUCAAAACGUCUUUGCCUGUCGACACCCAGAGGCCUUGAGCGUUCCCUAUGACCUCUGAUGUUAUGUCAGGGCCAACGGUGAGUGGAUCAUCGAAAGCUAUCACGCCGCCGAAGCCCGUCGAGGUGGUGGUGUUUGGACUGACUAUGGGGACUGCACUAGGAUUGUUGCCGCUCCUAGUGUCGUGUAAAAAGAAGUGGAGAUAGGUUACUUUUUGGGGAGGUGGAACGUAUGGUCCGGCAUGGGAGUAAUAAUCUUGGCAACGAGCUACUGUCAUGGCGGUGCUGAGACUCAAAAUCCAGGCUAAUAUCAUAUUUCUCUCCAUUGGUAAUGGUCAAUGGGAUUUCACUACUGCGUAUAUUGUAUUAUGGCACCUAAUUCAUAGGUUCCUUAGUUUAUAUAGAAAGAUAAAAUAAAACAAAACCAUAAAUUUAGUUUUUAAUAUUUAUAUUUUUAUCAUUUUAUUUUUAAUUAAAUUUAAUCAUUAAUUUUUUUAAAAAUAAGAUAGUUUUCUUUUAUCAAAAAUACUAAUUAAAACAUUAAUUUUUUAAUCAUGUCAGCGUGAUAACCAACGUGAUAGUUCACGUAUAUUUAUCCUAAUAUGAUACUAUUGUUCUAAUAAGUAAAAAUUUUAAAAUUCAAAACAAAUAUAAAAAAGUUAAAAAAAAUUAGCAUUGAUUACCAUAUGACUGUUAUAUUUAAAUAUUUAACAAUUUAGUAAGUAUUUAUGUUUAAAAAAAAGUAAUUAAAUUUAAUGGUAAAAUUAGGUUUAGAAUCAAAUUUAAUUAAAAGAGGAUCAAAAUUGAUAAAAAAAUAUAUAAAUAUUAAAAAGUCUAUAGGCCCCUUCCGUUGGGUUAAUUAAGAUUCAGUAAUACUAAUGUAUUUGUGCUAUGUACAAAUAUACAAUUAUAAUAUUAUUGGUGGAAAAAAAAACGAUAAUACUAAUGUAUUUUAUAAAAUUAAUAUAAAAUAGAUAAGUAAAAUUUAGGAUAAUUUCAUAGAUCUAUCAAUUUUGAAAUUAAAAUAACUUCAAUUUAUGAGAAAUAAGAAUAAUUAACAAAUUAUACUUCUAACUCAAACUAGUACGUACAAUGCUGAGGCUGGCAGCUUUUGGUUACAUUGCUUAAAAGCUUUCGCAUUCUUAAUCUGCAUAAAACAACGGAGGAUGAGAAGACUAUCAGAUCCUGCUUGGUGGCUUAAUCCAGCAACACGAGCCACGUUUAAAGUUUUUGCCACCUUUUCUAGUCCACCGUGUAAGUUAAAGAUCUUGAAAUUGUACUUGAUGUCAAAAAUCAUACAACCAAAGUAAUAAGUCAAAUGUCGCAUGAAAGACUUGAGAUCAGGCGGUAAUAGAUUUUGAGACAAAAUCUUCAACAAAAAUCCAAAAUCAUAAGCGCUGUGAAAAGUUACCCAAGUCAAUUCACCGAAACCCAACCCUGAAAUCAGAACCAUCAUGCCAAAAUCUCUUGAACAGAUGCUUUUUUCCUUAUUUCUUGUAAAAUCUAUACCUUGUCGUUUAAGUAACUCAAUAGACUCUUUAUCGUAAUGAUCUUUUUCAAUAUCAAAAUCUUUAAAAUUAAACUCCCAUAUAUAACAAAAAGGAGUUCCGAAAUCUGGCAAAUUACCUUCAGAAUCAGAGAGUGUUAAACCGAGUUGAAUGAUCUUCAAAGCAUCGACAUUAACUUUCAUGAACCUGUAAUUGACUUCGGGAUUUCCUAAUUGAACGAAUCUUUUUUCUGGUUUAAAAAUUGUACCAGGAAAUUCGGUAUCCAUAGAAACAAAAGAAUAGUUGUGGAGUGCACUUCAAAUUAACAUAAACUCAUAUUCCAAAUUAUUAGCAAAUACUUCCCUAACAAUCACUGGUUUGUUGACAAAAAUCGACAUUUUUUUUCUUGACUUAUACUUUAAACUGAAACUAUUGAACUCGAGAUAUACUUUUAGUGAUCUUAAGUCAGUUCUAACUAAGAUAUAUAUAUAAAUAUAAUUUUCAUAAUCCUAAUUCAAUUCUAACUAAUAUAAUUUUCGUAAUCCUGAUUAAGUUCUAAGAUAGUGUGUUAAUAUAUAAUUUCUUAAUUUGAUUUUUUUUACUAAAUUCGUUUUAGAAAAGGAAAAAGAAAAACUUGUGGAUUUUACUAAUUUGCCCUUGAAAGUUACUGCAAGUUAUAUGUUUUGAUGGGUGAGAUUUAGGUUUAAGGUUUAGCGUUUACAUUUUUAAGUUUAUGUUUUAUUAUUAAUAAUAAUAUAAAAGGUGUCACAAUUAUAUAUUUCAAAAAAUAUAAUUUAAUAUUUAGUUACACAUUUAAAAAUAAUUAUAAUUUAAUUAACCCCAAAGGCAGAAUGAUCAGUAUCGAAAAUAUCCCAUUGGUCGCGAAAACACGCGGACCCUAGGUCGGUUAGGGUCGGUCGGAUCGGGUUGUAUCAAAAUGAUGCCGUUUUAGCAUCGAAAAUUAAAAUCCAAAACAACACUGUUUUACAACUCCUAUUUAAGUCAAAAAAUUUCAUUUCAGCCUUCAUUUUAAAAAAAACCGAAACCUUCUUUUUAUUCUCAAAGCUAUCUUAAGCCGGUCAUAGCUCCGGCGAUCACCGCUGUACCGGCCACCUGUCACCGGCGAGGGCUCCGCCGUACACUGAGCCUUUAGUUUUUAUUUAUUUAUUUGGGCUUGUUAUUAUUAUUAAUUUUUAUUUUAAUUCUUGGUUUAUAUUUUGAUGGGCUCGGGCAAAAAUGUCCCAUUUCAGAGUAGAUGGUUAUUGUUCUCCCUUCAAUCCUAAUCUAGUCAACAACAGUCUAUAGCCUAUGUCUAACUUGGAAUUUUCUUCAAUGCUUUUGGGUUUUUGUAAGUCUAGUUUGUAGUUGAUAUUUUGAGACCUCAAAUGAUGAAUUUAGGUACUGCAAAGUUAAACAUCCGUUACCAUACCAAAUUCUUAGCUCAUCUUUAAGGUCAGAUAUAACCAAUGUAUUCUAUAUUUAUGGAUGAACAGAUGUGUUUUUGCUGUUACAAAGUGGCGUAAACCUCUUGGUUUGAAGCUCCCUUUUCUCACCUGUAAUGGCUUCCUUUAGUGUCAUAUAUCCGACUACCCAAAUUGCAUUAUAUGCCUCUCGAGAACACCACACAGCAGAGGCAGGAAAGUUAGAUCAGCUGAAAUCAGGCUGCAAAAUAACUUCUAAAAAUGGGUUAACUUUUAAAUAUUAUAACAAUUAAGUCCCUUAAAUCUGACACGUUUCAAACCUAACGAAAGCAACAGGGGGCCAACAUUAUUGGUGGAAUAAACAAUCACUCCUAAUCCAUAGAAGAAGAAAAAAAAACUAGCAAGAUAAUUAUCUUAAUAAUGAAUUACAGUCACAUUAUACUCAACAAUGGCGUCGCCAGUCUUGAAAUUCACGGAAUAAGUCUUGAGUUGUGCAUACCCUUUCGCCAUCCUGAACUUCCCUUUCCCUCCGACCACCGCAAGCUCACGCUCCGAUUCGGUAAUUGGAUUCCUCGACAAAACACUGAUAGAGCUGCCGUUGAAUUCACCUUUCGUAAACCCGAUGUCCAAGUACGCCAUCAGAGUCAAAACGUCUUUGCCUGUCGACACCCAGAGGCCUUGAGCGUUCCCUAUGACCUCUGAUGUUAUGUCGGGGCCAACGGUGAGUGGAUCAUCGAAAGCUAUCACGCCGCCGAAGCCCGUCGAGGUGGUGAUGUUUGGACUGACUAUGGGGACUGCACUAGGGUUGUUGCCGCUCAUAGUGUCGUGUAAAAAGAAGUGGAGAUAGGUUACUUUUUGUGGAGGCGGAACGUAUGGUCCGGCAUGGGAGUAAAAAUCUUGGCAACGAGCUACUGCCAUGGCGGUGCUGAGAAUCAAAAUCCAGGCUAAUAUCAUAUUUUUCCCCAUUGUUAAUGGUCAAUGGGAUUUCACUACUGUGAUUAUUGUAUUAUGGCAGCUAAUCGAUAGGUUCAAUUUAUCCUUUUUUUUUUAAUUAAUUUUUUUCAUUAAACUUUAAAAGGAAGUUAAAUAUUUUGUUUAACGAAGUACUACCUAAAAUAUUAAUCUUUUAAUUAUGUUAGCGUUACAAUUAAAAUUGAAAUUUAUGUGUAUUUUAUCUUAUAAAAAAGUAAGUAAAUUCUUUCUAAAAUUUUAAUGGUUAAAUUAAAUUACUUUUAAAAAAUUUAGGGAUAAAUUUAAGUAUAAAAAGGAUAAAUAAAUAUUAAAGAAUAAAUGGAUGAUUAUGCAAUUUAAUUAUAGAGAAGGCAAUCUCUGCCCGAGCUCUCACUUAAUUGAAGUCAUCGUAAUGACAUUGUUAUAGCAAAACGUAAGCAACCAUCUAUAGGCCCCUUCCCUAGGGUUAACUAAAAUUCAGUAAUACUAAUGUAUUUGUGCUAUGUACAAAUAUACAAAUAUACGAUAAUACUAAUGUAUUUUAUAUAAAAUUAAUAUAAAGUAGAUAAGUAAAAUUUAGAAUAAAUUCAUAAAUCUAUUAAUUUUGAAAAUAACAUAACUUCAAUUUAUGAGAAACAAGAAUAAUUAACAAAUUAUAUUUCUAACUCAAACUAGUCCGUACAAUGCUAAGGCUGAUAACUUUUGGUUACAUUGUUUAAAAGCUUUCGUAUUCUUAAUCUGCAUAAAACAACGGAGGAUGAGAAGACUAUCAGAUCCUGCUUGGUGGCUUAAUCCAGCAACACGAGCCACGUUUAAAGUUUUUGCCACCUUUUCUAGUCCAUCGUGUAAGUUAAAGAUCUUGAAACUGUACUUGAUGUCAAAAAUCAUACAACCAAAGUAAUAAGUCAAAUGUCGCAUGAAAGACUUGAGAUCAGGCGGUAAUGGAUUUUGAGUCAAAAUCUUCAACAAAAACCCAAAAUCAUAAGCGCUGUGAAAAGUUACCCAAGUCAAUUCACCGAAACCCAACCCGGAAAUCAGAACCAUCAUGCCAAAAUCUCUUGAAAAGAUGUCUUUUUCCUUAUUCCUUGUAAAAUCUAUACCUUGUCGUUUAAGUAACUCAAUAGACUCUUUAUCGUAAUGAUCUUUUUCAAUGUCAAAAUCUUUAAAAUUAAACUCCCAUAUAUAACAAAAAGGAGUUCCAAAAUCUGGCAAAUUACCUUCAGAAUCAGAGAGUGUUAAACCGAGUUGAAUGAUCUUCAAAGCAUCGACAUUAACUUUCAUGAACCUGUAAUUGACUUCGGGAUUUCCUAAUUGAAUGAAUCUUUUGUCUGGUUUAAAAAUUGUACCAGGAAAUUCGGUAUCCAUAGAAACAAAAGAAUAGUUGUGGAGUGCACUUUGAAUUAACAUAAACUCGUAUUCCAAAUUAUCAGCAAAUACUUCCCUAACAAUCACUGGUUUGUUGACAAAAAUCGACAUUUUUUUUUCUUGACUUAUACUUUAAACUGAGACUAUUGAACUCUAGAUUUACUUUUCGUGAUCUUAAGUCAGUUCUAACUAAGAUAUAUAUAUAAAUAUAAUUUUCAUAAUCCUAAUUCAAUUCUAACUAAUAUAAUUUUCGUAAUCCUAAUUAAGUUCUAAGAUAGUGUGUUAAUAUAUAAUUUCUUAAUUUAAUUUUUUUUACUAAAUUCGUUUUAGGAAAGGAAAAAGAAAAACUUGUGGAUUUUACUAAUUUUCCCUUGAAAGUUACGGCAAGUUAUAUGUUUUCAUGGGUGAGAUUUAGGUUUAAGGUUUAAUGUUUACAUUUUGAAGUUUAUGUUUUAUUAUUAAUAAUAAUAUAAAAGGUGUCACAAUUAUAUAUUUAAAAAUAUAUAAUUUAAUACUUAGUUACACAUUAAAAAAUAAUUAUAAUUUAAUUAACAAUUAUUAAUUAAAAUAAUUGUGUUAAUUUUAAAACAAAGUUCUAUCAGAAUAAAAUUUUAAACAUAAAAUGUAGGAAAAAAGUUGUAAUAAUUAUAAUUAUAAGUUAAAUCACAAUUAUUAGUUAAAAAGAGUUUGAUGUAAACAAAAAGUUGCACUAACUUUAUUGAAGUAGAAUAGAGUUAUUACUUAAAUAGAAUUCUAAUAAUCUUAAUUAUCACUUAAAUUAAUAUUAGGGUUAAUUAGUUAUUGUUUUGAAUAAUGUUAUUUUAAAUUAAGCGAAACUACGUUACAUAUUGAAUAUGUUAAUAAUGCUUUAAUUAUGAUUUGAAAAUUUUCUAUUCUAAUAUUUGAACUGAUAAUUUUUUUUUGAAAUAAAAGAAACACAAAUUUGGUAAUAAUGUAAUUAAAAAAACAACAUUAUAAUGGAUCUGAAUUUAACAAAAUAAUUCUAACAGUGUUAACAGUUGGACUUGAGUUUUGAAAUCUAAAAAAUAAAUUCUAAAUUCUAAUUUUAGAUUAUUUAAACUCUAAAAAAUAACAUUGUAUUUGCAAACUAUGUUUAUUAGAUACGAGCAUGUGUCUAAUACGAAAAUAGUCAAUUAUUUGAACUCCGAGUGACAAAAUGGGAUUAAAAUAGUAUCAAUUUUCUGCAAAGAAGUAACCCUUUUAUGACCUUCAUUUGCGUUAUACUCUGCUAUCGAAUCCACCAUCGGCAUUGAAUUGCAUUUUUUCGUUUCAUCCGUAAAAUUGGACUCCCCAUGAAAGACCUUACGACAUGGACCUCAAUUGAUAGUUUGUUCAUCAUGUUAGGAUCUGUCCGAUUAAGCAACAAGUAAAAAAAUAGCGAAAUAAAUUGAGAAAUCGAACACACAAAUUUAACGAGGUUAAACUCUUCUAGAGAGGAUAAAAAAAAACCACGGAUAAAGAGUAUAAAAGAUGGAGAUAAAAACUAAACCCCGAAAACCCGAAAACAAAGAACCCUCAAAACGUAAACACUGCAAAAUUCUCUAAAUGUGUUAUGAGUUCUAAUCUCUAAUGGGUGUAUUUUCUAAUAUUGUAAAAGAACCUAUUUAUAAGGCUAAAUUAGUAGCUCAAAUAAACUAUGCUAAUAAAUGCUAAAUAUAUUAUACUAAUAAAUACUAAAUCUUCUAGAAAGAAAAUAUAUUUUGUUUAACUUGACUUGAAAACAAUCUCUUAAAAUUUAAGUCAUACAACUCUAACACAUAACAUUUUCACAAUUCAUGUUCCAAGUUUGGUCACUUCCAAUUGGAUCUUUAGUACAAUUAUUGAACUCUAUAACCCCAUCUAGUAUAAGAGCAUCCUUAUUAAAAAGCCUUAUAUUAUCUGUGCUCACAAAAAUGGCUUCUUGGAUCCUUUUAUCAACCCGAUCCCUUCGAAGAAGGGUCUAUGUAUCACCGUUUACUUCAAGAAAUGCAUUAGGAAUUAAUGGGACAUGGUUGAGAGUGAGGUAUUUGAGAAUUGAAGUUGAAUCAUAGUUCUCAAACUCGUCUAUAUUGACAUAGAAAACUCUUAAAUCAAGCCAAGAUAAUGGCUUGUAAGGAGAGUGGGGAUUGACCAUUCAAUGAUGGUUCAUAAACCCUAUCCAUCAAAGAGGUCUUAGAGAUUAUGAAAUUGAAAAGAGAAUCAGACAGCAAAUUCAAGCAUUGGGUUUAUAUAGACAAUAUAUAUAUAUACAUGAUAGGUGUACAGAAUUAUAUUAAUAUAAAGUCAUCAAAAACAAAUUAUGUGUAAGAUAAUUAAGGAAAGAGUGGAGUUUUUGGUGUCUGUUUUUGGAGAAAGGAUCAAAUGAAAACAAUAAUAACUCAAUUCUUGGUCACAAAUACACGAACGAAAACAAAACUUUAAUAAUAGAACUCUAAUAACAUGAGCAACUAUGGAAAAAAAAAACUAGAACACUGCUACAAACAAGACCAUGUUUAACAAAAUCCAAUGCCAAGUAAUACUGCAUUUGACAGUAAUAACAAUCACAACAAAACAUUAAAAAAAAAAAAAAAAGUCUCAUCUAAAACUCAACAUCUGGAAGACAUCCAAAAAAGUUCAAAUGAAGCUCUUCUUCUCCCUUUCUAUGGACCUAUGCUUGGCAUUUGUCAGUGUCUAUCUUCAAUUCUCUGCAACAUGGCCAUUCUCCGAUUUCUCGGCACUGGAUGUCAUAAGGGAAACAAGAUCAUAAUUAGCAAUGUCAUUUUGCUGAGACACACAAUUGACAACUCAAGCAGAACUCAACAGAGGGAUCUAACAGGCAUGGUAUUUCACGGGGUUGAAACCAAGCAACGUUUACUUACUUUCUAAAGCUUCGUGAAUAUAAAGUAAAAUAACUACCAAGUUCUCAAACUCUUCCAUAUACAAGGGACUUUUGACACAAGAAGUUCUCGGACUCUUUGGCAAACCGCAUUCUCCAUACUUUGGACUUGGUCAUGUAGGUCAAACAGUAAGAGCAGGCUGCAGGAGAGAUGAAAAAGAUGCAUGGUUAUUGCUCGAGUUAAAUCACUAUGGGGCCUGAACUAACUGUAUCACAUCGGGGGCUUGAACUUUCUUUUUGUCCAAGUUAAUCCCUGAACUUGACAAAUAUAUAUAAACACUUUAUAAUGAAUCAACAUGAGAAAAACAACAAAUAAAGCAAUAUUCUAAAAUUAACCAAGCAAUGAAAAUCCAGUUAAUUGAAGAGACCUUUGGGUUGAUGAUCAGCAUCAGCUGUAGCUUCAACAGGGUCACUCUUCCUCAAGCUCUUGUCAUGGCCAUUACCGAAGCUUGCCUUUGCUCAUCUCUCUUUCUCUGUAACAGCUACUGUCCCUUUAAUCUUCAUAGCUUCAAGCUUUUCAUCAAUCUCCUUCCAGUCUUUCCCCUUUUCCUUCAACACCUCCUCUCUCGGCCUUGCCUCGCCGAAAGAAGGGAAAUCGGAGAGUAAUUAAAGGCAUCCUCAAUUGGCGGAAAGAGAAAGCAAUCUCUGCCCAAGGUCUCACUUAAUUGAAGGCAUUGUAAUGACAUUGUUAUAGCAAAACGUAAGCAGCCAUCUAUAGGCCCCUUCCCAAGAUUUAAUUAAGAUUCAGUAAUACUAAUGUAUUUGUGCUAUGUACAAAAAUAUACAAUUAUAAUAUUAUUGGUGGCCAAAAAAAUGAUUAUAUUAAUGUAUUUUAUAUAAAAAUAAUAUAAAGUAGAUAAGUAAAUUUUAGUAUUUGACAAAUCUAUCAAAUUUGAAAAUAAUAUAAUUACAAUAUAUGAGAAAUAAGAAUAGCUAACAAAUUAUACUUCUAACUCAAACCAAUCCGUACAACGCUAAGGCCGGUAAAUUUUGGUUACAUUGCUUAAAAGCUUUCAUAUUUUUAAUCCGCAUAAAACAAUGGAGGAUGAGAAGGCUAUCAGAUCCUGCUUGAUGGCUUAAUCCAGCAACACGAGCCACAUUUAAAGUUUUUGCCACCUUUUCUAGCCCACCAUGUAAGUUAAAGAUCUUGAAAUUGUACUUAAUGUCAAAAAUCCUACAACCGAAGUAAUAAGUCAUAUGUCGCAUGAAAGACUUGAGAUCAGGCGGCAAUGGAUGUUGAGUCAAAAUCUUCAACAAAAACCCAAAAUCAUAAGCGCUGUGAAAAGUUACCCAAGUCAAUUCACCGAAACCCAACCCGGAAAUAAGAAACAUCAUGCCGAAAUCUCUCGAAUAAAUACCUUUUUCCUUAUUCCUCGUCAAAUCUAUACCUUGUCGUUUAAGUAACUCAAUAGACUCUUUAUCGUACCGAUCUUUUUCAAUAUCAAAAUCUCUAAAAUUAAACUCCCAUAUAUAACAAAAAGGAGUUCCGAAAUCUGGCAAAUUACCUUCAGAAUCAGAGAGUGUUAAACCAAGUUGAAUGAUCUUCAAAGCAUCGACAUUAACUUUCAUGAACCUAUAAUUGAUUUCAGGAUUUCCUAGUUGAACAAUAUUUUUGUCUGGUUUGAAAAUCGUACCAGGAAAUUCAGUAUCCAUAGAAACAAAAGGAUAAUUGUUGAGUGCACUUUGAAUUAACAUAAACUCGUAUUCCAAAUUGUCAGCAAAUACUUCCCUAACAAUCACUGGUUUGUUGACAAAAAUCGACAUUUUUUCUUUUUCUUUUUCUUUUUCUUUUUCUUUUCUCUAACUUAUGCUUUAAACUGAAACUAUUGAACUCUAUAUAUAAUUUUCGUGAUCUUAAUUCAGUUCUAACUAAAAAAUAUAUAGAUAUAAUUUUCCUAAUCCUAAUUCAAUUCUAGCUAAUAUAUAUUUAUAAAAUAUAAUUUUCAUAAUCCUAAUUAAGUUAUGAGUUCGGACUAAGAUAUUGUGUAUUAAUACAAGGAGGGAACUACGUUAUUUAUAAUUUUCUAAUUUAAAAUUUAUUUUUUUAAUAUUAUUUUUUUACUAAAUUUUACAGGUGGACUCUAAUCUUAUUUGUAUCCUUUAAAGACAUAAAAGAUAAUGGAGAGUGGGUCUUGACCGUUUGGCCCUUCAACGAUGGUUCAUGAACCCUUUCCAUUAAAGAGAAACAAACAGCAAAUUCAAGCAUUUGAAUAGGUUUUAUCGACUUUUAAAAAAUUAAAUUAAAUUUUUAUCAUUUUUAAAAAGACUAAAGUAUAAUUUUAUCAUUAUUAAUUUAACAUUUUAAAAAAUUUAAAGAACCUAAAUAAAAAAGAUUUCAUUUUAAAAGAGGUCGGGGCCUGCCACCCCCUCCCCCGGGGCUACAAAAUUAUAUUAAAAACAAAAGGGCUGUGUAAUAUUUAAAUAAAGCCAUUGAAAACAAAUUGUGUGUAAGAUAAUCAAGGAAAGAGUGGUGUUUUUUCGUGUCUGUUUUAAGGGAAAUGAUUGUAUGAAACCGUGAUAUUAUCAUUUUUCAAUGGUUUAAUGUCAUGUCAGCAAUUUCAUCUUAAAUUUCAAGAUUUUCAUUUGGAUUUAAAUUUUUUUAGGGUAAAUAUGUUGAUACGACAUUAAACUAUUAAAAAAAGAUAUAGAUGACGUGGUAUCCCAAUUACAUACAAUAAUUUCCCCUAUUUUAGCAGUUUUCGUAUUUGUGACUCUCAAUGACUUGGCCAAAAGUGAUCCAUUGUCUUCUUUAUGUUGCUUUAUAGGACUUUUUGGAGUUCUCUUUGAGGAGUUGAUAGGUUCAUGUUGGAUGAUUUUGUAUUGGUGCUUGUUUGCUGCAGCUGGCCUGAUCAGACACAAGCCUUCAGGAGAGGCCACAACAGACGUGAAACCCAAGAGGAGACGUCGGAAUCUCUAUGGUGUCGAAGGCCGAAUCAUCACCCUUUAGACAUUGAUCAUAAAAAUAACAUUUUCAAUCAUAAAAUUUAAACUCGAACUGUUUGAAGUAAACUAAAUCCGAGCCUAUAAUGUUGUACAAUGAGAGUUAGUCUUCACACAUACGACAUGAAUAUACCAACACCACACAAGCACACAUUACAUUCAAAGAGAACUACUUAAAUAAAAACUUACCAUUUACUCUCGAAAAAUAAUAUGGAAGCACAAAAACACAAAUAAUGUCUACAUUACCAUGUGAAAAGCACAUGCAGCAGCACUCCCUAUUUACAAAACCCACAUGUCGUUACUCUUCUUAAAGAUAGACCCGUGGACAAGAAUAUUAUUUAGUGGGAUAUAUGUAAGGGCCCAAUUUCAUCCGGUCCAACAAAAGUCAAACAAAUAAAUAAAAAUAAUAAAAAGUUUGUUUACAAAAAAAAUAAUAGCCCAAAUACAAAAAAAAAUCCUAAAAAUCAAAGCCCAACCCACGACCUAAACUCUUUUUUAGAAAAAAAAAUUCUAGACCCCUACGCGCCGUUGCUCCUGACCACGUCAGUAGAUGCAUCGCCCGAGGACUGCCUCCCUUGUCAUCGUUUCACCGAAAUGGCAAGGGUGCGACUCCCAUCGUCGUUGACCGCCAUGAGUACCUGCAAAGAAGAAAGAAAAGCAAAGAAAUGGAAAGCAGAACAGAAACAAAAAGAAAAGAAAAAAUGAAAUACUGUAAUGGCUGUAAAAGCCAAACUAGUGUAAGAUUCAAACAAGCAAUCAAAUAGAAUACAAAAAAGGCAGACGCCAAAACGGCGUCGUUUCAAGCUAGAUUUGCCGACCCGAUCCGAAUCCCUUAAGAUCCGCGUGUUUUCACGAAAAGGGUCUAAUUGCGACCCUAGUCCUUCCUCUUUUUAAACACUUUUCAAUACAGUCCUAUUUCUGGUUUUUUCUUUCUUUUUUUAAAUUUAUACCAUUUAAUUUUAGAUUUUUUUAUUUUGGUCCCUCUUGGAAACGGUGCGUUUAAUGGGUUUGGGAAUAAUUUCCCAUUUGAUCACUACUCCUUUUCGCGCGUUCUAUUUUGGUCCUUUAUUCUGCCUUAUUAAUUAAUUUAUAUAUUUUAUUAUGAUUUAUGCUUUUAAUUUCAUUUAAAUUCCAAUUCAAUCCUUUAUUUAUUUAAUUUCACCCUUUUAUGAACUGUUUUUAUUUAUUUAUGUAUUAUUUCUUUACCUUUUUUAAUACUUAAAAUUUAUGUUAUUCAUAUUUCCUUUUUAUUGUGCAUUUUUUGCCCUCAUUAUUAUUAUUAUUUCAUUAUUCACAUGACAUGAUAUUGUUACCACAAAUUGAAGUUUUUACUUUCAUUAUAUUUGUAUUAUUAUUGCUCAUUAGCAUGGCACUUUUAUUUUACCUUUUAUUCGUUUUUCUCUUUAUUCAUUUAUUUUUUUUAUUAUUCUAAUAUUAUUUUGCUUUAUUUUCAUUAAUUAUCAUGCCAUCAUGUUAAAAUAUAUUUAUUCAUUUUUACGCUAUGCAUAAAUAAAUUAAAUGUAUAUCGUUUUAAAAAGUUACCUUCGUUUUAUUUAACAUAUAGAAAACACUUAAAACCGAGGCAAUGUUCAUUAUUCUUGGAAUUCGAGGAGUUGUGCUCCUAACUUACGGAGUAUGACAUCUUCCUAAAACCGAAGUAAUCAAAUAUCCUUUUUAAAAUAACGAGAAGCAAGAUUCAGGUAACAAUCAAAUGGCGAUUAUUCUGAUUUUCGAGAAUUAGAGGCAUCGUCUCCUAACUCACGGGGCAUGGUCCUUUUUCUCGAUUAACUCAAAAUAAGGCCUUUUCCAUUGAAUUUAAUUUAGUUAAGUAAUAUCUUAAUCAAAUGAUAUUAUACAAAGAGGGAUCGUGUUUUAAAUUCUCUUCAAAUUUUCAGUUCUCGACACUAAGAUAUCAAGUAAUCAAUUAGGUACCAAUUUUGGGCGUUAUAAGGGUGUUAAUCCUUCCUCAUAUGUAACUGACUCCCGAACCUAUUUCCUGGAUUUUGUAAGACUGAAAAUAAUUUUAAUAAAUCUAACAUUUUAUUAAAAUGAUAAAGUUUUGAGGUGAUCCAAUCACACCUAAUUAAAAAGGAUUGAUGACGACUCCAUUUUCGUUUUUUGAAAAUAAAAGUCGAUUUCACAAAAGGUUUCACAAUAUACAUGCACUAAUUAAUACCUACCAUACACAGAUUUAUUGUCACAAUUUGACAUAAAAUCAAUGACAAUAUGGAACCGAAAUAGGAUAGUAAAACUCAAACAUUUUAUAAAUUUUCGAAUCAAUCCGUUUCGAGUGGAGUAAUUUUUUUCUUUUUGAAAAUGAAUGUGGGAUAAGGUGGAUUUUUUUUAAUAGUGAGUAUGGAGCGGUUAUGGUAAUAACUUAUCUCACCCCGCUCCAUUAUAUGAAAUUACAAAUUUAUCAUUGUAUUUACAAUUAUUAAAAGAGUAAAAAUGUACUAAUGUAUUAUAGAAAAACCCAUAUUUUUAUGUUCAAAUAUGUUUUUAAGAAUUAUGUUUAAAUAAUUAUUUACCUCAAAAAAGCUUGAAAAUAUUAAAGAUAAGUAUAAAAAAUUAGAUUGAAGCGGAGUGAAGAUGGAUGCAUCCAACAUUCAUGAACUGGUAGUGAUUUUUAAAAUUCUACAUCCAUGAUAGAUCGGAGUAGAUGGUGGAGCAAGGCAUGCCAACUAUGGAGUAAACAUAAGUUUCGCAAAAUAAUCUAUGACUUUUUUUAUCACUAUAAUGAAAUCUCGAACAUGUAUGUUUAUGUUUUCUACAGCUAAAUCAAAAUCAAACCUUGCAAAGUUUGAUACUAGUAAAAAUGAUCACAUAAAUAGUAUAUAAAAAUUAAUAAUAAAUGCGGAAUUAAAAUAAACCAACUUAUUGAUAAUGAAGUUGUUUGUGGUGAUUCUUGUGACUACUUGGCUGAUUAGGUUUCUGUCUUAGUUUCGUUGGUAAUACGUUAAAAUAAUAAAUUUGUAUUACUCAUGUGAUAAUAUAUUUACCGCAUCGAAAUUUAUAAAGUAAGUCUUAGUUUGUAUGUACCCUUUUCCAUCUUGAAUUUCCCUCUCCCUCCAAUCACCGCAAGCUCACGCACCCGUUUCGGCAUUCCUCGAGAAUAUAUUCAUAGAGUACCAGUGUUAAAACAUCUUGGUCGGUCGACACCCAGAGGCCCCGAGCAUUCCUAACAACCUUCGAUGUUAAGUUGGGACCGACGGUGACUGGGUAUCGGGAUGUCAUUGAAGGCAGUCAUCAUGUUGGCACGGGCUACAACGACUGCACUAGAGUUUCCGCCGCUCAUUGUGCCGUGUAAAAGAAGCGGAGAUUGGUUCUUUUUGUGGAGGUGGAACAUAUGGCUUACUCUGGGAGUAAUAAGUUUAUAGCAAACCUUGAAAUUUAGUUUAAAUUUUAUAGCAAACCAUCCCCAAAUCUAACUUUUUAAAUAAAAAAAUUUAUUCAUAAAUAUAUAAAUAAAGACAACAUAUAAUAUAAAUGAAUGAUGAAUAUAUAUUAUUCAAUCAAUAAGUGUAGAGUGAAUGGUAAGACAUUAUAUUUUUAAGGAGAGAAUUUGAGUAGGAAAUUGUUGAGAAGAACAAUUACAAACUCUAAAAGAAUGAGUAUUUUAUGAAUCAUAAAACAUAUAUAUAUAUGGAGGAUACAUUGAUUCACAAUAAAAAAGAAUAUAUUCAGUUUUCAGACUUUAAAUAUGUUAUUUUCAAAAUAUGUUCUUUUUAAGAAUAUCUUGAUAACCAUGAUUGUUGAGUUGGGUGUGAAUGUUAACGCCGCCAAGUUUCCUUCUUGCCUUUUGAAUGAAGGUAAUUAUUAUGAUAUGAUUAUUGUACCUCAACAUCUAUAGGUGUCAAGUUUAUUGUGAAAUAUUUGAAAAUCAAACAAUAAUAAUUUUUAAUAAAUAUAUUUGUUACACAAUUUAAUAUAUAUAUAUAUAUAUAUUCUCCCAUACCAUGACAUGAGUGUGAUACAAUCUAAUAUACUAAUAUUUAAUUGAAAAAAAGAUGGAAGCAGUCUCUUUAGGAGAAGUAUUCGAAAUGUUGCCUAUCAAGUAGUCAACGAUCCCCUAACAAUCGAAGGUAUUGUCUCUCGAGAGAUUAUCCCCUGUACUUUAUUGAGAGCCAGCAUGUUGUGAACAGCUUUCCUAAGAGCUUGGUUAACAGAACCGAGAGUGCUUCAGCCAUACGUUAGCAUACAAUCAUCCACCAACAGAACGUUAACAUCGAAACUAAAUUUAUUAUUAUGUCAAUCAAAUUUAUGUAAAAUUGAUAAUAAUAAUAAUAAUAAUAAUAAUAAUAAUAAAAUAUUAACAUUGUAAUUAAACGAUCUCUAAUUGCCCACUUUCAAAUUUUCCCAUUCCUUUUAGAGGGAUCAAAUUGAUCUGUUAAAAUUGAGAUGGAUCAAAAAAGUCUUUCACUUAAAUAUUAUUAUAAGUUAAAAUAUAUCACAAGUCGAUGUAUUCUUCAAAAGGUUGAUUCUUGUACCUUUAUUUACAUUUAGUCCUUCUAUUUUUCAUGUUUCAGAAAUUCAAAUUCAACUGUUAACACUAUUAAAAUUAUUUUGUUAAAUUUAAGUUCGUUACAUCAUUUUUUAAUUACAUAACUACUAAUAUUUUUUUAUUUCAAAAUAUUACACCAACAAAUUUAACAGAUUAAUAAUUAAAAGUAUUCAAAGUACAAAAACCUGUAACAUAUUUUAAUCAUUAUUAAAUAAAUAAAAUCCAUGCAAAUUGAUUUUGCAAUACAAUUUAAAGAAGAGAGAUGUUAACACCAAAACUAAAACCCUAGACAUUGUAUUAAGUAAUCAAUAAACAUAAAUGUAUUAUAUCAUGUCAUGCUUGUAUUAAGUAAUCAAUAAUCACACUUGCAUGUAUCCUCCCCCCAAAAAUUGCCAUAUCACAAUCAUACUUGUAUUAUGUUAUUGCGUCCGUGUUCGCAUGUAUCCACAAACAAUUCUUGGUCACAAAUGAAUGAACACAAAACUUUAACAAUAAAAAAUUAAUAAUAAAACUCUAAGAAAAUGAGCAACUAUGAAAAAAAUAACAAAAACACUGCUACAAACAAGACCAUGUUUAACAAAAGCCAAUGCCAACUAAUUCAAGGCCUAUCAAAAUUGUUCAAAUACUGCAUUUGACAGUAAUAACAAUCACAACAAAACAUUAAAAAAACAUAAGUCUCAUCUAAAACUCAACAUCUGAAAGACAUCCAAAAAAGUUCAAAUGAAGCUCUUCUUCUCCCUUUCUAUGGACCUAUGCUUCGCAUUUGUCAGUGUCUAUCUUCAAUUCUCUGCAACAUGGCCAUUCUCCGAUUCCUCAGCACUGGAUUUCAUAACGGAAACAAUAUCACAAUUAGCAACGUCUUUUUGCUGAGACACACAAUUAACAACUCAAGCAGAACUCAACAGAGGGAUCUAACACGCAUAGUAUUUCACCAGGUUGAAACCAAGCAACGUUUAGUUAAUUUCUAAUGCUUCGUGAAUAUAAAGUAAAAUAACUACCAAGUUCUCAAACUCUUCCAUACACAGGGGACUUUUGAGACAAGAAGUUCUCGGACUCUUGCGCAAACCACAUUCUCCAUAAUUUGGACUUUGUCAUGUAUGCCAGUGGUCAAACGGUAGGAGCAGGAGAGAUGAAAAGAUGCAUACUUAUUGUUCGAGUUAAAUCACUAUCGGGCCGAAACUUGACAAUUACUCCUACAUUUGACAACAACUCCAACAUUGGGGCCUAAACUUUUUUUGUCCAAGUUAGUCCCUGAACUUGGUAAUUAUUCCCAAAUUGAGGCCUAAACUAACUGUUAUCACAUUGGGACUUGAACUUUCCUUUUGUCCAAGUUAGUCCCUGAACUUGGCAAUUGUUCCCAUAUUGAGACCGAAUAAUAUCAGGGCUAACUUGGACCAAAAAUUAGUUUAAGCCCCAAUGUGGAAAUAGUUGCAAGUUCAGGCCCCAAAAAGUGAUUUAACCCUAUUUAUUCUUUAGCUAAUUAAAGCCUCUAUUCCAUUCCCUAUAAUCCCUAGCCUAAAUGAAUUCAAAUACUGCUAUAUGCAUAAGGAAAUUUGUUCUAUAAUGCAAUUGUGGAAGGCAAAAGAAUUCACAUACACUACUACUCUGUUUCUAAAGAACCAAGCAUAUAUAUAAACACUUUAUAGUGAAUCAACAUGAGAAAAGCAACAAAUAAAGCAAUAUUCUAAAAUUAACCAAGCAUGAAAAUCCAGUUAAUUGAAGAGACCUUUGGGGUUGAUGAUCAGCAUCAGCUGUAGCUUCAACAGGUUCACUCUUCCUCCAGCUCUUGUCAGCCGGGAUAUGGCCAUUACCGAAGCUUGCCUUUGCCCCUCUCUCUUUCUCUGUAACAGCUACUGCCUCUUUAAUCUUCAUAGCUUCAAGCUUUUCAUCGAUCUCCUUCCAGUCUUUCCCCUUUUCCUUCAACACCUCCUCUCUCGGCCUUGCCUCGCCGAAAGGAUUUGCCCCUUUGGGCUUGGCCACCGUCGAGUCCUUUUUACACUCCUCCAUCACGGGAACCGUACGUGGUUGAAGCACAAGCUUUGGCCUCACCCCACCACCACCAGCACUGUUGAUCUCUUCCUUUUUCUUUCCCCAGUUAUCCAAAUCCCUUGGGGAAUCCCUGGAUUGAAGUGAAUCGAAACUGCUUCUUUUCUCAAAACCCCCACCAAAUCUCCGAGGCGGCGGUGCUCCAUUAGGGCUUUUAUUACUCUUACUAGCUGCCCAGUUAUCUACUUCAUCUGCUUUCGAUUGAGAAUCGAAAAACCCUCUAUCUCGCCUCUCAAACCCACCGCCGAAUCCAUUCCCGGUAGGAGCCGAUUUCUUAACCGACGCCCAAUUAUCGAUCUCAUCAGCGCGUGAGGGAGCAAUUUCUCUAUUCGAAUCUCUAUUCGAAACCCUAGAAGAUCCCCAUCUACUAUUACUCGACGAAUCAUCCCCGUUAGAAUUGUACCUGUUCGACCCGUACGAUUUAAAACCGCCGCCGAGCUGGUUACGAUCGAGCUCCUCGGAGGAACGCUGGCGAGGACCGGUCGGUAGAACGAGCAGGUCCUCAUGAGUGCGCCCUGUCGGCUCGCUCGGCUUAGCCGAACCGUGAGUAAAUUCAGCAAGAGAUACGGUUUGGCCCUUCUUUUUCCUGGUUUUGGUGGCCGCGGCGGCGGAUAAAGAAGGGAAAUCGGCGAGCUUUCCGGUCGAAGAAUCUACGCCGCUUUCCUGUUCUUGUUGGAGUUCAGCUUCGUGCUCUUCGGCGUCUAGAGCCCACGCGCCGGCUUUGCCCCAAGGUGACGAGACAGUUGCCGCCAUGAUCUUUUGUUUCUUUUGCCUUUUUAGUGCUUUGGCGCCGUUUCGAAGCUUACGUUUUCAGUUGUGCACCGAAAGGAGAGGGAAGGGUUUUUUUAUAUUGUGAUAUGAUCGGCCUUCAUCGGACGGUGUAGAAUAAUUCAUAAAUAAAAGAAGUUUUAACUUAAAAAAUAUACUCAACUAAGAGUUGGAUUGUAUUUUAUCUUCUCUAUUAAAAAAAUUAGAAAAUUAAUCCUUAUAUUUUAGACCAAAUAGUAAACUAGUCAUCCACUUUUGGUGUUAAAAACGGGUCAUCGUACCUCAGCAUAACACGACAUGUGUCACUGUUUGGUUAUACUAUUAAUCACGCUAGUUUUUAACCGUACAAGCAAAUGAAAUUUUUAACAAAAAUGACCAAUUUACUCUUUAAUCUAACAUACAUAGACUAAUUUACUUAUUUUUAAAUAGAGGGAUAAAAUACAAUCUGACUCCUAACACAAAGACCUCUAUGAUAGUUUUACCAAAACUAUAUUAUAACUUACAAGAAUCACUAGUAAAAAUUUAUCAAUUUAUUUAUUAUAUCUAAAUUUAUUUUAAUAAAUAUAUAUACAAUAAAUAUAUGAAGUACUUGAUAAAUAAUCAAUUUUUUUAUUAAUUUAAUAAAAGAUAAUAAACUAAAUAUAAAUAAAAUGUGUUUUUUUUAUAUCAUUGAAGAGGAGAACGUGAUUACUUAGGAUACUUGAUAUCGAAUCCAAACUCUUUCGUAUCCACAACAUAAUACUCUUAUCAUUGAGUUAAAAAAUUGUUUACAUAAAAUAUAUUAUUUUAUUUACAAAUUUUAAUAUUUAUAUGAUAAAUGAUAUAAAGGUAGUCUUAUAUCUUUCAAAAAUAGUAUAAUUAAUAACCAUUUAGGUAUUAUCAUUUUACCAAAAAUAAUAUAUAUACAUAUAUGUUUAGCUGUAUUUUGCGAUAAAAGUACUAUGAAACCUUUAUGGUAAGAGGUGGAUUGCAUCAUGUCUAUUUACUUAAAAAAAAAUGGGUAAUUAGUCUUUGUAUGUUAAAUUAAAGAGCAAACUGAUCAUUUUUUUAAAUUUAAUUUAUUUCUACGGUUAAAAAUUAGUCUAUAUACAUUAGAAUAAGGUACAUGGAACACCACAUGUAACUAUUUGGUUAUUUUAUCAAUCACAUCGAUUUUUAACAAUAGAAAUAGAUGAAAAUUUUAAUUGAAAGGAUCAGUUUACUCUUUGAUCUAACGUACAUAAACUAAUUUAAAUAUUUUUUAAUUAUUUAUUUAACUUCAUUUUAUUGUUUAUAAAAAUAAAUUUUGAAUUAUUUGGAAACAUAUUGAAUUAUAUAUUUAUAAAUGUAUUAGUUUAAUUUAAUGGAUAUAAACAUAAUUUUAGAAAUUUUAAAGAGAAAUUAAAAAUAAUCCUAAAUUUUAAUCAUAUAAUAAUAAUAACAAUGAAAAUGAAAAUUCUGAUUCGGUAAAAAGGUCAUAGCAGUUGGUUCUAAGCCACUCUUUUGAAAAAGCUGCUUAUUACUAAAGCUGAAUCCAAAGGUCUGAACUUUGCAACGUUAUGGACAACGUAACCAAACAUAACCAAGAUAUUCAUGGGAUUCCAAAAUCUAAAUAGCUUAAAAAAAUAUUAAUAAUAAACAGGUCAAGUUUCGAGUAAGGCUUUUUACUACUGGCCCAACUCGAUUUUGCAAAACCAAAAAGUUAUGUUGUUUUCUUCUUGUUUUCUGCUACUUUGUUGUUGUUUUCUUACUACUUUCUCAUUGGCUUCUGUCAUUUCACUAUUAUGUUGUUACUAUUUUGUUAUUAUUAAUUGAAUGUUGUAUAACUCUUAUUUUAUUUUAAUUUUGCUAUUAUUUUAAAGACAUUUAUUUGUUAAGUUGCACAUAUCUUAGUGUUAUUUAGUGUAUAUAUAUAUUUUUAAAAAUUCAAUUUAUUGGAAAACAUUUAUUUUAAUGUUUUUAGUGUUUUUGAUAUAUUAUAUAUUUUUUAAAAAUCAUAUAAAAAUUUAAUAUGGGUGGGUCAGGCCAAUUGGUGCAUAUUUUCGGGUCGGGCUUGGGCAAAAUUUUAAGCCCAUUUUUGGGGCUAAGUCGAGCCUGGGCCUAUCAAACGAACCUAAAUUUUGUCAAGGCUCAACCCAUGGACAAGUUUAUAAAUUUAUUUCAACAUAUAAAAUUUACUUAUUAAUAAAUUGUAACACAUCUAACCCGAAUCCAUCGCCGGGGUUACGGAGCAUUACCGAAGUUUAUAAAUCAAACAAACAGAAAAUGCAAACAUUUCAUGUCAUAUAGCAUUCAAGUCAAAAACCAAUCAAAAUCAUACAUAUUAUCCUUUAUACGAGCCCUCAGGUCCCAAAAUACACAUUAGAAACAAAUCGGGACUAAAUUGGAAACUCAAAAAAAAUUUCGAAAAACUUUUAAAUUUUUUAAAAGGUGCGGGGGACACACGCCCAUGUGACCAGGCCGUGUGUCUCACACGGUCAAGAGACACGCCCGUGUCUCAGGCCAUGUGGAUAUUCGAAGUAGGGACACACGGCCGUGUCCCAGUCUGUGUCCAAAAUUAGGUGCUUACUGACUUAGGUCACACGGACAAGCCACACGCUCGUCUGCUAGGCCGUGUGAACAUUCUGUUUUGCUCAAUUUAAUAGAUACAGAGGACACACGAUCAUGUCACCUGGUCGUGUGUCACACACGGCUGAGACACACACCCAUGCCUUUGCCCAAGUGGACGAAAUUAGGUCAUUCUUAGGCCACAUUUCUCACCCCAUUUGUCAUCAACCUAACUCAACACUUUUACACAUCAACAGUCUAUAUCAUAGCAUUCAAAUCAAGCUAAAUCCAAGUUUUAUACAUAUAUUAUCAUCACAUGUACUCUAGUAUUCAAACUUAUCAAAUUGACCAAAUUCACAUGUAUGCAUACUUGUACUAAGUAUUAACAUAUCUAUAAGAUUAUCAUCAUUCAACUAUACCAAGCACUCACAUCUAAUAUGAUAUAGCCUCUUAUAUGCACAUCAAAACAUGUUCAUCACAAGUCAUCCCUAUGGCUAGAUAUAACAAAACAUUAAUAAGCCAACAUUGGCCAAAUUAACUUAUACACGCCAUUAUAAUCAGAAUCAAAUCAUCCAAAAUUACCGAUAGAACCAAUGGAUAAUGUGAUAUAACUCCAACAAGCUUCCAACCAGUUCGAGCUUCCGAUAAUCUGUAAGGUAAAUAAAAAUAAAUACGUAAGCAAUGAAUGCUUAGUAAACUCAUGUAAUCUUUAAUCAUAUUAAUUCAUUUCAAAUAUGAAAUCUAUACAUAUCAAGAAUAAUCCAAUUUUGAUACCACAAUAUUCAUGAAAUUAUAUUCAUCAACUCGCAAGGUGAAUAAAUCCACAACAUCACUUAUACAUAUUAUCCCAAGCUUAGUAGGAAUUUAUAUAACUUUAACUCUUCCAAAUUUCUUUAUUUUCAUUUGCAUUUCUUUACUUUCCACACUUAUUCCAUAUGCAUGACACACAAGUCAUAAACAUAUUGUUCAACUAUGGCCACAAGUUAGUGUAUUUAACCAAAGCCUUUUUCGAAUUGAUCACAUGGUAAGUCAUUUUAUAAGAAAUUGCAUAAUUUAAACCUUACCACUUUUUCAUGAGCACUAGCAUAUUUUUGCUUAAAUACUUACCAAUUCAAUGCAUCAUAUAAAUAAACAUAUUACCAUUCAACCAAUAGCUUGGCACUUGCCUAAGCAUCAAGCAAUAACACUGGUUAGCGUAAUUGCACAUAUUACAUAUAAAUUCAACAUUGUUAAACUUAUUUUCUCGGCAUGUCACACUUGAGUUUAUUACUCAUCUCAACGUACAUAAUUUCCUUGUAUCAACAUAACAAAAAUAGUCACAUAUUUACAUAUCAUGAUACAUAUCAUUAUUUUUUCGUUUCUUCAUAAAUAUAUAUCAUUCAUUUCAUUAUAUCAAUAUUUCAUGUACCAUCAUUUUCAUGAAUUUCGUGUAUAUUUAUUCUGGUAAUAGUUCAUAAUUAUCAGGCAAGUUUCAUAUACAUGUAUUUUCUAUGUUAUAUUUCAAUAUAUCAAAUAAAUAUCAUUUCCAUGUAUUUCAGGUAUAUAUCGGUAAUAGUUCAUUUCAAACUCAUGUUAUCUCAUAUUAGAACUUUACUCGUUAAAUCAUUUAAAAUAUCGAUGGAUACAAGGGUAGUACACAUGAAGUGUACGAAUCUGAAAUCCGCCAAUUCAUAUUCAAGAGUACUCCUUAGAGCAAAUAAUUGGGAAGCCAUCUCUCGAGCCAUAUAAUGGGAAGCUCAUGUGAGCCAUGUAACUGGAAGCUUAACCGGGAUGUAUAACGAGAAGCUCAUAAGAGUCAUAUUCAGGAAGCUCAUACGAGUCAAUAACGGGUAACUCCGAAGAGCCAUUAAUAGGAAGCUCCAGAUAGCCAUAUAUUGGGAAGUUCAAGCGACCCAAUAUCGGGAAGCUCCGGAGAGCCAUUAAUUAGGAAGUUCACAAAGAGCCUUUAAUCGGGAAGCUCAUGAAGAGCCAUAUAACGGGGCGCUCAUAAGAGCUGUAGUGUGCCCACAACACAUGCAGGAUCACAACCGAUCCUGAUGCUCCGAAGAGCUAUUAACGGGAAGCUCAUAAGAACCAUAUAACGGGAAGCUCGAGAGGGCUAAUAUAGGGAAACUCUUUCGAACUGUGGUGUGUCCGCAACAUAUGCAGGACCACAACAAAUAAGGGAAAUCCGGUAUCCAUCGAAUUUCAUUUAUUCAAACGGGACUUGACAUUUAUUGGGUUUAUCAGAUAUGUGAUUGUUUUUAUAUGCAUGGCACAUAUACAUUUCAAAUACAUAACAUUCAAUUUAAAACAUAUAAAUAUACAAUUUAGUUACACGAACUUACUUGGCUAAAUUGCAGAAAUACCAAGAUUCAGGGGCAUUUUGGUAAUUCUCUAUUUUCCUAUAUUUUCCACCCGAUCUUGAUCUAAAUUAAUAAUUUCAUUCAGUUUAUUAAUUUAGAUAAUAAAACAAUUCAUUUCAUUCAAUUUGGUCUUUUUACAUUUUUUACAAAAUUACCCCUAAAGUUUUACUUUUAUUCAAUUUAAUCCCUAAAUUCAAAAUAUGCAAAUUAACCAUUUUUUAUACAAAUUAAAGCUAUCCAAAUAUUCAUGGCAUUCAAUACAGCCCAUUUUUAGAAUAAAUUCACAACAAACUCUUGUAUUUUUAUUAUUUCAACAAUUUAAUCCUUAAUCAAAAAAUUCAUCAAAAUCACUUAACAAAAUACUUUUAAAUAACAACUAAUAUCUCAAAUUAAUCAUUUAACAUCAAGAAUCAUAUAUAUUCAUCAAUUCUAACAUCCAAAACCUUUAACAAAAUCAAAAACAAAGGUAAAAUUUAAUUGGACUAAAUUGUAAUAAUCUCAAAAAUAUAAAAAUUACAAUAAUCGGGUAAAAAUUGAACUUCCAUGAAGUAAAAUUAAAAACCCAACUUAAGCUCUCUUCCAUGGCGUUUUUUGAGCAGAGAAUUGAAGAAAGAAAUGUCUAGAAAUCUUUAUAUUUAAUUUGUUUCCUUUUAAUUUUGCCGAAAUUACAAUUUUGCCACCCAUGGCUUUAUUUUAUUAUUUUUCUCUUAUUAUGCAGUCUCAUCCAUUAAAUUUAGGCAUAUUUGCUUCUUAAGUCCUCUCUCAUUUGUCAAUCAAGUCAUUUAAUCACUUAAAUAUUAUAAUUAAUAAGUUUUGCACCUUUUCAAUUCCAUUUUUAAUUAAUUAACUAUCGAAACGUUAAAAUUUUUCAAUGAAACUUUAAUACUACCUUAAUGACACUCUGUAAAUAUUUAUAAAAAUAUUUACGGCUCGGUUUAAUAGAAACGAUGUCUAGAUACCUCAUUUUUAAAACUACUUAACCGAAUAAUUUUUUUAUAAAAUACAAAUUACUAAUUCAAAAACCUUUCUAAAACUAUAUUUGACUCUUAAAUAUUAAAGAAUAAUAUUUACGAACUUACUUGCCGAAUUUGGUGGCCUCGAACCACUAUUUUUGAUACCACUGAAAAUUGGGUUGUUACAUAAAUAAAUUGUAAUAAAAAUAAAAUAAUUAUUAUAGUUUAACAUAAUUUUAUAGAAAUUGAGAUUAAAAAAAUAUUAAAGUAAUUGAACUUUUAAAAAAAAUUAUUCUAUAACAAUAACAAUUUAGUAAAAUAUGUCAUAGAUCCUUAUAGUCUUCACAAAUUUAAAUUUUAGUCUCUGUAUUUUUAUUUCCAGUAAUUGAAACCCUUUAAUUUUUAGAUUAAAAUACAGAAAAACAGAGACUUAUGACAUUAUAUAGAAAGUUUUUUUUUGUAAUAAUUUCCCUCCCCAACCCAUAAAUAGGAGAUCAAUGCGCUUCAGCGCACUCGAACUCACAUCCUCUUAUAUUGACAACAGUGUUCAUACCAGUCGAGUUAAAAUUCAAUUAGCGAAAAUUUUGUUUUUUAAAAGAAAAUAAAAAGUUUACCCUUGACUUGUCCUUUAUUACUAGUUUAGUUCUUAUCCAUAUCCAAUGUUUUAAUUACCAAGUGUGCAACUGGUUUUUUCCCCCACAAUUGAAUAUGACAUUACAAACAUAGCUUAUAGCACCCGUUCGGCGUUCGGUGUUCGGUGACCCAAAAUCAACACCACCGAUCGAGUAGUCCAUAGAACAUGCGUUGAUAUUCCACUAUAACACGGCCAAGAUUUAGAUUACGUAGCCAGGAGAGAGCUUCUCUGGUAACAUAUGCCUUGUCUGAAUGAGGUGCCACCAAAAUCCUAGUAUGACCUGAUAAAAUUUUAUGGUUAUAAUCAGAAUGUAAAAUAGUAGUAUAAGAAGUAGGGUCUAGGAUGUGUGAUGGGCAGUUUUCAUGUCUACGACGCCUGAUAAUUUGUACGAUAAAUAAAAAAGGAUUAAAUCUGGCUAUAAUAAAAUAAAUAAAUAAGCCGUAGAAUAAGUAAAACGAAAUUAAAUUGAGUAAAUUGAUAAGACAAUGGUCUAGCUUCAGAGCUGAUUUUGGUUCCAAUUUCGAACUAAUCCCGGACAAUAGAUUUUUUCCUCCAAUCAAUAAGUCAGUUGUAGCCUCAAACCAUCAGCCUUUCUGAAUGUAAAUUAAUUGUAGGAACAGUCCGACAAUUAACUCUUACCAAACGAACAAUCUUGAAACCAGCACCCAUAAUUUAAUUCCUUAUCAGCCUUGCAAACUAAAAGGACUCGACUCGAAUCAACGACCUUAACUGCGCGAGUCGUUUAAGCUCAAUCAUUAAUUUCUUUGACAAAUCCAACCACUCACGCAAUUUGUUAUGUCAAUUUGUUAUUCGAGAUCAUAUCGGUUUUCCAAUUAUACGUCGCAAGAACUCUUUUUAAUUUGAUGCUAUAAUGACAUUGUGAGACAACUAAGUUUAUCUCCUAAAUUGAAAAAUUAAUAAAUACUGAAAUGAAGAAUUUAAGUACAAAAAAAGAAAAUUCAAUUAAUGAUAAUGAAAUUUUUAAUUCACUCUAAUGCCAAAGAAAAUUGUGAAAAUUUUAAUUUAGUAGUCGCAUUUGGGUAAUAUAUAUUGUAGUUAUAGAUAUAUAAUAAAUAUUGAGUUUAUAUAUAAUAUUAGACUUAUAGCAAUAUAAUAUAUAUUAUUAAUUUCGAUUAAUCCGUGGGUUCAAUUAAUUAUCUGUUUUUGAACUAAAUUAAUCAAUAGUUAAUUUAAUUAAUCAAACUAACUUAAUUUGAUUGGUUAAUUUGAUUUUAAUAGAACUAUACACGCCUUUUUUUUGGUCUUCUUAUAAGUUAUCCAAAGUGUGUACAUAUAUAGGAAAACAUGUCAAUUUUGAUGUAAAUUAAAAAAAUUUAAAUAUUUGUUUUAAAUAAAAAAAUUCAACCGUUGCAUACAUGACAAGUAAAAUCAUAUUAAUAAAUCUAACGGUUGCAUCGUUAAAAUAGUAAUAGCAAUUAUAUUGAUAAAUCCAACAGUGUAAAUAGAUCCCUCCCGAUAUAUAUUAUAUUGACUUUUUUACCUAAAUAAUACAAAAAAAUAAACUUAAUAACUGAAAUGGCAUGCCCAUUAGAUUAUUUACCAAAAUAGUAUGGUUUUACUGGCGGCACCGAACUGAAAUGUAAUGAUCUAAAGUAUUCAGGGACCUGAUAUGCAAAUUUACCAUGUUGAUUGACUGCUGAAAAAAGAGUGAAAGGGUGCCGCCUGACAGUUUGGCGGCACCAAAGCUUAAAUGUGGCUAAUUGCCUUCUAAGCCCUUAUUAUUUAUUAUUUUAUUUUUAUUCUCUUUCAUCUCACUACAUUGUGUUUAAACAAGCCCUCAACUUAUUUUUGUAGUUAAACACAAUGUAGUAAGUUGAAGAGGAAUAAAAAUAAAAUAAUAAAUAAGGAGGGCUUAGAAGGCAAUUAGCCACAUUUAAGCUUUGGUGCCGCUACACUGUCAAGCGGCACUUUUCACUUUUUUUUUCAGCAGUCACUCAACAUGGUAAAUUUGCAUAUCAGGUCCCUAAAUACUUUAGAUCAUUAUAUUUUAGUACGGUGCCGCCAAUUUGACAGGCAACACCAAUAAAAUCAUACCAUUUUGGUAAAUAAUCUUAUGGACAUCUCAUUUCAGUUAUUAAUUUUAUUUUUUGUAUUAUUUAGGUGAAAACACCUAUUAUAUUUAUAUAAGUAAAAUGGGAGGAUUUUGGUUUUGAGAUAAAUAUACAAGUUUUUUAAAGUAAAUUAUUAUAUCCUUUUUUAAAGUUUUUUUAAUAUAGUAUAUUCAUAAAUAUAAUACAAGUAUAAAUAUAUAUUUAAGUAAUUUAAAUUAGAGGUGUUUAUGAGUCGGGUCGGGCCGGACUUAAACAUGAUAGUAACAUAUUUUAUGCUUGUCUAAGUUUGACUCGGCCUGAAAUCUGUGCCUAAAUUUUUGCCCAAUCCUACCCAUAUUUUCAAAAGACUAACUCAAGCCUAUUUUAGACCCACCUAUAUUAUUUUUUUAGUUUUUAAAAAAAUAUUUAUAUUAUUUUGUUUUAAUAUUUAGUAAUUUUAUACCUUUUUUAUUUAUUGAAAAUUUUUAUAUAGGCAUCUUAAUAUUUUUUUAAUGUUUACAUUAGAAUAGUAUUAUAUAUUUAAUAUAGUUUUAUUUUUUUAAUGUGUUCUAAAUUACAUAAUAUAAAAUAUUAUAAACUUAAAACGAGUUGGGUCAGGCUGGACUCGGGGCCUAAUUUUUUGCCCAAACCCAUUUUUUGAGCCAAAUAUUUUUACCUAAACCCUCUCGAAUUUCGGACAAACCUUCGAACCUAGACAAAUAGCCCGACCCAUAAACAGGUCUAAUUUAAAUAUAAAAUACAAUCAAUGAAGAAUAGAAAAUAAUCAAAUAAAAUUCAUCCAUAAUAUAUCCAUGCAUAUACUAAGAUCGGACACCCAUACAUCAUGAUUAUAUAUAUAUAAACUAAAUAUUAAAAUCCACCUAGGUAGUCUUCUUUCUCUUGCAAGGAAGCUUCAUAUCUCCAAUUACAUAGAGGAAUAAACUAAAUUCCCAACGUAAUUAUCAAACGCUUUUUUAAUUUUCUUUUUAGGGUUGGAUUGAAAUCCUUGUUAAAAAUCAAGAAAUCCCAUGAGAUCAAAUGUUUUUUUAUUGGAAAUUGUUUUCUUUUCAACCUUGGGUUGUAUUUUUCUUCAAUUUAGUCCUUAAAUAUAAUACGUUUUUUUUUCAGUUUUAGUUAUGUGAUGGCGUGGCACGUUAAUAUUAUGUCACAUUAUUAUCAAAACAACCAUAAUUUUUAAUGAAAAUUUUAAAUAAUGAUGUGACACAAUAACAUAAUAUUGUUUAUUUUCAAUUAAAAAAUGUUAACUAUUUUUUUAAUCAUUCAAUAAGAACUCACACACACAACUAUAUUACACGUAAGUUAAAUUUGCGAAUCGAUAGCAUGUGUUAAAGAUCGGGUAAACUCAAUGUUAAAAUUCAAAUGUUAACAAUCUCAAUUCAUUUAAAAUAUAAUUUAUUAUAAAAUUAGAGUAAAAUAAAUAAUUUAUUAACUUCAAAUUUUAUUUAUUUAAAAUUAUAUAUUUAUUAAACAUAAAAAAGUAUAUGUGUAUAUAUAUAUAUAUAUAAAUUCACAAAUAUGACAUACAUCGUAUUCUGUUUUUACUAAAUAAGAAUAUUCUUAGUAAAUUAUGUUUUAUAAAAAUAGUGGAUUGCGAUUAGAUUUGUUUAUGGGUUGGGCUGAGUCGGGCCUUGAGAAAAAUUUUAGGCCCGUUUGAUAUGUUCGGGUCCGAUCCAAAAAAUAGGUCUAAAAUUUUGCUCAGCCGGGCCCGCCUAUAUUAAAAAAAUGUUUCCCAAAAAAUUUAACAUAAAUUUAAAAAAAAAUCUUUAUACUUAAAUAACACUAACAUAAGUACAACUUGACAAAACAAAUGCCUCUAAAAUAGUAACGAAAUUAAUAAUAAAAUAAGAGUUAUAUAAUAUCCAAAUAAUAACAACAAAAUAAUAGCAACAUAAUAGUGAAAUGACAACAAAAUAGUAAAAAUAAAAAUAAAAAGAAACAUCAGAAAAGCAACAAGAUAACAACAGGAAAACAAUAGCUUUUUUUUUUUUUUUUUGCAAAUUUGGGUCAGGUCCAGACCAAAAAAGUCUUAUCCGAGUCCCAACCCAUUUUCUAAACGGGCCUUAUUUUUUUUAUCCAAGCCCAUUUUUUGAAUCUAUAUUUUUGCCCAAACUCUCUCACUUUUCAACCAGUCUAGGUAUCCCAACCCAUGGAUAAAUCUAAUUGCAAUUUAAUUUUCUUACUUGUUUAUGUUUUAUUACACGUAAAACCUCUUUUUAUUUACAAAUAGAUAAUUAUGUUUUAUUACAAGUAAAACCUAAUUAACAUGACUUUAGAAACAUAGCUGAAUACUAAGGAAUACAUAUAAAUGAAAUUUUAAGACAUGAAACACAUUCAAGACCAAAGGCAAACAUAAGCAAAUUCCUACUUUUUGUUGUUGUUUUUUAAGUACUCUGUCCACAAUCGGCAAUAACAACCGGCUUCGUAGUCUUUCCACGGCUAGAGCCAACUUUCUCAAUAUCUCUAACCACCUUCAUGCCUUCGACCACUCGUCCGAAAACAACGUGCUUUCCAUCGAGCCACUCGGCUUUAGUGGUGCAGAUGAAGAACUGAGAUUUGUUAGUACCCGGUCCAGCAUUCGCCAUGGAUAGUACGCCGGGUCCAAUAUGUUUCUUGAUGAAGUUCUCGUCGGCGAAGUUGGAUCCGUAUAUAGAUUCACCUCCGGUGCCGUUUCCAGCUGUGAAGUCACCUCCUUGGCAAAUAAAAUCAGGGAUCACACGAUGGAACUUCGAGCCUUUGUAGUGGAGUGGUUUACCGGAACGACCGACGCCUUUCUCGCCGGUACAGAGUGCACGGAAGUUCUCGGCAGUGCGAGGGGUAACAUCGGCAAAAAGCUCCAUCACAAUCCGACCAGCCGGUUCGCCUCCGAUCGUCACUUCGAAGAAUACUUUAGGAUUGGAAACCAUUGCUGAAUAUUGGAUUUUGUAUUGUUUUGAUAGGUCAGUAGGGUACGUAAAGGGGAGGGACUAUGUUUAUAUAGGAUGAGGGGAGGCUCGAAAGUUGACGGCAUAGAUUCUAAAUCUAAUUCUUUCGGUUUAGAAUGAUCAAAUGCGAGUUAAAAUUGAAUUCCAUUCACAUUUUGUGAUAAAUACGAAUAUAUAUAACAUUUUAAAAUGAUAAAACAAAGGUGGCUGUUUCUGGCAAAUCUAUUGGCUGUCUCUACCACCAUAUUUAGUAUUUAAAGUGUGUUUCUGUUUGAGACACUUUCUGCUUUUCUCUAUGUAUACCAUGAGAAGUUAUUCUUUGCUUAAAGGAGCUUACAUAGAUGGAAUAUGGUAUAAUAAUUUUUUAUGCAAGAUGUUGGGCAGGUAAAGUGAUGUUCACAUUGUAGGUGGCGUGUACAGCUAUUAACCAUGAAGGUUUUGAAUUUGUAUUUGAAUAGAGUGAGGGUUGUAUUAUAUAUCUCGUGCCUUGGUGCUGGAGGAUAUUAUUUAUAAACGAAGGUUGGUUUGGUAUGGGUUUCAAUCAUCUAUUUUUGUAUUCCAUAGAUGUAGGUAGUAGAAUGAUCAACCAGGAGUUGAUAUGAGGGGACUUUGUGAGGUGACUGGUUAUAAUAUUAUCUAGUUCGAAGAGGUGAUAGAUAGAUGGGUGUUGAUAGGAACACUUAUCCAUGUAUAUUCUAGGGAUUGUGUGGGAUCAUCUCAUUUGAUGCGGUGUUUGGUGAAGCGAGAUUGGGACUAUGCUUCUAGCAAGGUCGAGCUUCAUCAAAUUUUACCUUCAAGUAUAAGCAUCAGGUGUUUCGAUGAGAGGUGAUAUGGUGAGGGUAUAAUAAUUGCCCCUAAAUGAAAGGCAGGUUAUUGACCUACCUUGAGUUAAUAUCUAGUGAAACACUAAAACGACUUUUGAAAUGUCAUGAUUAAUGUCCAAUCAUUGUGCCCUUUCAUUAAUUACUCUCUGUUAGCUUUGAUUUAUAAAAUUUUUGAUAUAACAACAUUUAAGAUAUUUUUUUUCAUAUUAUUGCUUAGGUCAUUUAUGUUUCAAAACAAAAUAAAUAUUUUAGAAAAUAUUUUCAAAUCCAAAGCAAGCUUAAAGAAUGCUUGUUUAAAUUGAUUUUACUCAUAUCUUGUGCUCUUAAGUUAACUGAAAAGCUUUGAAAAUAUUUUAAAGUGUGUUUUUGAAACAAAAAUAACAAUUUUAAUAGCUAAGUGUCGAUACCCCUAGGCUAGUAUCCGUAGGCCUUUCUAGAGGGGUAAGAUAAUACUUGUUCUUGAGGCACCGAUACACACCCAAGUAUCAUAUUUUACGUAAAGUAUCAGUCCCAAGUAUCGUAUUUUACGUAAAGUAUCAGUGCCUUGAAAUGUCAAUAGCCAAAGCUUUUUUCUAGAUGGGCAAGGUAUCUAUACCUUGAUACCUGUUAUUGAGGUAUCGAUACCUAACCCAAAAAGUAUCAACACCUCAUUAUUUAUAAUGACUAUUUUUUUUAGAAGUAUGGAUACCCUCUUCAUAGGUAAUGAUACAUUAGGAUGUAGGGUUGUUUCAACUUGCAUUUGUAAUGCCUCUAACGGCUCUUUUUCAUCCCCUACGACCAUAAAUAGCUAGAAUUCACUUCAUUGACAUAACGAAAGGUCGAUGAAUGAAGAGAUAUCAACGCAUUCAAGCAAGCAAAUUUUUAGUUCAUUUCUUUCCUCUUUUCUUGUUUAUUAUUUAUUGAGCUUUAUUGAAAAUCAUUAUGAUUAAAUGCUACAGUUACAUAUUUUAUAUAAUUAAAUUGGUUAAUUUAUGAGAAUGCACCACUAAUUUUGCCAUAUUUAUUGAAUUUUGUGCAGGAAUGCAAUUUGGGGCUAAAUAGAAGAAAAAGGAAACAAUUGGGCUAGAUUGAAGAAAGAAGCAAAGAAGGAGGGCCAAAGAAGAUUUUUUCCAAGAUUAAUUAGCCGAAAUUGUUGACUUAGUGGGAGAUUAUUUUGGGAUAUUUUUUAUAUUAUGGAAUAUUUUCCUUGAUUUUCUAUACUAGUUGACUCUUAAUUUAGCAAGGCCACUAGUAUAAAUAGAUGCUACAUUGUUCAUUUUAAUCAUCAAUUCAUAAAUCAAGCUUUCAAUUAAGUCUUUCAUUAAGUGUUUUUCUUUCUUCAAGUAUUUUUCAUCUAGUUCUUUUAUCAAGUUUUUAAUUACCAAGUUUUUUUUUAUCAAGUUUUGCAGCAAGUUCUUUUUAAAGUUUUUCAUCAAGUCUUUUCAUAAAAUUUUCCAUCAAGUUUUUAAUCAUUUCGUUUUUAAAUUAAACUUUUAUCUCUUGCAAUUCAAUCUUUUCUUUCUUUUUUUUUGUCAGCAAUUAAUUUCCAACCUUGCGUCACCUUCACCACUCACUUUCAUUUUUUUCAUUUAUUCAAUCUUAUUUAAUUAUUCCAAUACCAACAUGCCCCAAACCUUAGCCAACUAAACCCAUUUUCAGCUUUAGGCCGAAAUUAGCCUCGUCAAAACCCGUGAGUUACGAACCGAGCCAUUUAACUCCUAAUAUUCCAGUACUUAUUACUUCUCUGGAUUAAGAGUAUGAUUUUGUCAACUCACAAAGUCAGAUCAACACUAAGUCAAAAAAGAUGUCGUUUGAUUUAGUGUGAUUAGACGUACAGUUGGAAUUCCGAAAGGAACAUUUCUAAUCGGUUUUCUGUGAACACAUUGGCGUGCCAAGUGGAGAUUGCUGUUUGGUUCCGUCAAGGGAAGUAGUAACCGGAUUUAAAUGUCUCACGCGGUUGAGGGCAUUGGUUCGAGCUAGGCUCUUCUAGAACACAAAGCUGCCGGAGUUCUAAAUCACGAACGUUUCGUGGUUGUUCGAUCGGUAAGGGUUAGUUAUUGGACGUUCCAUAACUAAUUUACACAAGGAAGAGUUGGUGUCCAAGGCGUCCUUGGUAGCUAUAACUAGCUUAUUGGAAAAGAGGAGUUCAUCCAAUUUCGAGGAUCGGUUCAAAGACGAGGAAAAUUCGUGCCUAAAGCUGAGCUUAUUCUAAUUAAUUUUUCUUAAUAUUUAUUUCACUGUUUUUAUUAUCCUGUUUUCAACUUUUACUUUUUACGUUAUUUUUCUGUUUAUUUUAGGUCAUCAAAUUUUAUCCCCCCGAAUUUCUUGGGCACGACAGAUGCCCCGACAUAAAUCUGGUCAAGAUAGCAACAAUUUACAGUAAACCAGUCUCUGAGGGAUCGACCCUACUCCCUAUACUGCAUAAUUUGCAAAUUAAGGCAUAGGUUUAUAUUGGUGGAUUCGACACCCAUCACAUUAUACAAGGGUUUAUUGUACGUUUAAGAGCUUAAUUUUGUAAACACUCACUUACUAGAGGUUGAUCAUUUGUUUGCCCAAAUAUUCUCUUUCUAUUAAAAAGCGAACUUUAAGAUUUUUAGGCAGAAAGCAUUAAUGGAUUAGAGGUUCUUGUUUAGCCUUGAAUGCUAGGAGGAGAAGGUUUUUGCCUAAGCCUUAUUAGAUUAUACUUGUCUUUGAAACGUAUCAAUUCAAGUUAAUGAAUUUGGAAAAUUCUUAUCGGCAAAGAUAAGGAGGUAGCCAAUUAAGGCCAAACCAUUGAGUCAAUAUUUUCUAUCCUUUCUCACCUUAGUGAAAACAAGUUAGAUUACCAAUUCACUCCUCCUCUCGGUAGAAUUCUUUAAGACUUUACACUCCCAAAACAAGCGUUGAUUUUUUAUUGGGGCUUUUCUAUUUCUUGAUUUCCUACUUAGAUACUUAUAAGUAGGGCUCUUUUGUGAUUUCUGAGCUUGUAUCUUCUUCUUCUUCUUCAAGGAUAACGGCUUAGUAAAGCAAAUAACCCAACCUCUUGGCAUGGAACAAAAUAUUGCUCAACAAUCAGUGGGUGAAGGAGGUGACAAGAACAAAGGCAAAAUGCCUUUCAAGAAAGAAGGUGCACGAGCUUUGUAGGAAAAAUAAAAAACCGGGGUAGCUCUAUGCACAUUUCUCUCAAGACAAAGGGAGAAUACUCUGUCAAUGCUAAGAAAAGUGAUGUCAUGUUAAGCACAUGAAAAAGCCUAGGCACCAGGAGGAAACAUCGCGAUAGAUUCCCUCUUUAAAUCUCCUUACUGGAACAAGAAUGCCUAAUAGUGCUUUGGGAAGUGAUUUAGUGGGAUAAAAGAUAAUCAAAAGUGAAGUCAGCUUUCUCGAUACAAUAAAAUGAAGGCCUUCCUUGAAUAGGAGAUGAUUACGUUUUUCUAGACAUGGUGGCUCUUCAGAUCUACUUACUGUAUGUACUUGUCACAAACACUACAUCUUAUCAUCGCCAAUUAGAAUGACAUGAGAAGAGCCAAGCCAACUAGGUGGAAGCAAGACAGCAGUUAAAAUAAGAAGAAGAGCAACUUGUCUUACUAAAAGUUUCAUCCCGUAUCAAGUUCGCAUAUGCAACCAUUUGACACAAUAUCUUAUUCUUGCAAGAGCGAGUAGAAAAGUUUCAAAAAGUUGGCGUAUGACCAAAUUGCCAUACUGUACUUUUUACCCCUAGUCAAUUAUUUAGGGUUUCUUGGUGACAAAUGGUACUGUACUUUUUAGAUUGAAAGAACCAUGGAACCUGUCUUACUAUCCCCACAAAUAUGUUCUUAUCGAGGACAAGUUGGAGGUUUAUUUUUAUCCUCAAGUGGGUUAUUCCUUCAUCCCUUUAGCUUGUUUCAGGCCGCGAUAGGGAGCCAUUCUGUCGUUUAAGGAUAGAACUAGUGAAGUUUAGCGAGAUAUGGUCCCUACAUGGUUUUUGGCGAUUCUAUUUCGAAGAGCAUAACCUAAAUGGUGCAACUCUAGCAGAAAUAGCAUUGUUUUGUUAUGUGACGAGUUUUGGUGCUUGGUCUUCAUCAUACAAUGCUUGGCCUUGGAAGAGUGGAGAUCCUUUAGCAAAGUUAAUGCUCGAAGAGGAGCGGUAACCUCCAUAUUUCGUUUGCCAAUAUGUGCAUAAACAUUUGACUGCUAAACUUCCUGUCACUCAGCCCAAAGAAUGAGGGAAACACGUCACUAAAAGCCUUACGAAGACCCUUGAUACAUGUAUAUGUAGGCCUUUCUCUUGUUUGCAACAUUUCGUGCCUUCUAUUAUUCUGACAUCUUUCUUAUUAAUGCUUCCUAUGCCUUAGUGCUGAUGGAACCGUCUUCAUACCUAAUUAUGAGGCUUGUACAACUAUCAGCAAAGGCUAAGCGGUUGAAGCAAAUCAAUUAGAGGCUCUCUGAGGGAUCAAAAGCAAAGAGUUGCUAGUUGGAAGGAGGGAUAAUGCUAAUAGCUAUGCUUAUGUGAAGAAAGCUCACCUGGUUGAAAAUUAGGUUCCAUAUCUAGAGGUCGAGAUAAAAAAUUUGAAAGGUAAUCUCAUGAAGUUGCUAGAAAAAUUGAAAGUAAAGGAAUCUUAGCAGUAUGACGGAAGGUCUAAAUUUUUGAAUACUUAAGUUAGAAUCUCACCAUAUACAAAUAUAUAUAUAUAUAUAAAUAGAAAAAAAUAGAAUAGAAUUCGCUUCUAUUAUAUCAUGUCAAUGGCAAUAUAAAAAUAGAACUGAGAUCUAGAUGGAAUAUAAUGAAAUAGAGCUAUUUUGAGGUUCAUUCUGAAAUGAGACAUGGAACGAAACUACUAUAAAUAGAGUCAUUUUUGAGAUUAUGAAGGAAAUUUUGAGUUCAUAUUGGUCAUGGGUUGAGAACAGAAAUUACAAUUACGAUAUAUGAAUUUUCAAUCUCAUAAAUGUGCAUACAUCAUGUGUGAAUUUCGUCUGAUUCUUUCUAAUCAUUUGUCAUAUAUUUUUACUUGCACUGAUAGUAUUGAAAUCACUUAUGCAGUCUUGUUUCUCCAAAUAUAGACAAUAUUUUUUUUUAACAAUCUCAUUAUAGAUUUAAAUCUUUCUCAACUCGUGCUUCAAUAUACUUGUAUUGACAACAAUACUCAUAUCAAUCACUAAACCAUAAAUUCAAUCGGUUACACAAAACAUUUUCUUUAUCAGUAUUUAAUAAUAAUAAAAUUAUUAAGCAGUUUUCUUUUUGACUUUUCUUUUUGACUUUUCCUUGUAAUAUAAUAAAAUUAUUAAGCAGUUUUCUUUUUGACUUUUCCUUGUAAUAAAACAAGAAAUAAAGAUUGUAUUGCAAAAACAACAAAAAGGGUAUGUAAUAACUCAAUUAUAUGGUCAAAUAAGAUGAUAAAUAGCGCACAUUAUUUAUGGCAGUCAUGUUCUUAGAGAACAACCUAAGCCAAAUCCAGCAACCAGCAAAAGAAAACACAUAAAAAUGAUAAAUUUCAGACAUGAAUCACCAUUCAUAGACCAGAGUCAACAUUAUUCCAUUUCUUGUUCUUGUUCUUGUUCUUAACAAAGCUGUCCACAAUCUGCAAUAACGACAGGCUUAGCAGUCCUUCCACUGCUAGACCCAACUUUUUCAAUGGCUUUAACCACAUCCAUACCUUCAACAACUUGACCAAACACCACAUGCAUCCCAUCGAGCCACUCGGUCUUAGCGGUACAAAUAAAGAACUGAGAUCCAUUCGUUCCGGGACCGGCGUUCGCCAUGGAUAGUAUGCCGGGUCCGGUGUGCUUCUUGAUGAAGUUCUCGUCGGCGAACUUAGACCCGUAUAUCGAUUCACCUCCGGUUCCGUUUCCGGCUGUGAAAUCACCUCCUUGGCACAUGAAAUCAGGGAUCACGCGGUGGAACUUAGAGCCUUUGUAGUGGAGUGGUUUACCGGAACGACCGACGCCUUUCUCGCCGGUACAGAGUGCCCGGAAGUUCUCGGCGGUACGAGGAGUGACGUCUGCGAAAAGCUCCAUCACGAUCCGGCCGGCCGGUUGACCUCCGAUCGUCAUGUCGAAGAAAACCUUGGGAUUUGAAGCCAUAGUUAAAAAAAAUUGAAAAUUGGCUUAUUUUUUGGAUUUUGUUUUGGUGGGUUAGUGUGAGAUUUAAGCUAAAGAGAGACUGGUUUAUAUAGAGAAGAUGAAUGAGGGUUGACCUGCAAACGGGUCGGGUUGAUUUUUUAAUGGAUCUAAUUCGGGUUGAAUUGUGGUCAUCCAUUUUCUUUUUAGUCCUUCAGUUUUACUUUAAUGUUCAAUUUGGUACUUAUGUAUUUUUUGGUACUUAACUAAGACAAAAAAAAAAUCAAUUUUAAAAGACAAAAAAAAAAUCAAUUUUAAGUACUUAAUUUGAAUCAACAAAAGCCAAAUUCAAGAAUCAAACUCAUCAAAAAAAAAUUAGAUACCAAAUUAAACAUUAAAAUGAAACUCAUGUACCAAAUAAUAUAUUAACUCUUUUGUAGUCAAGCUAGAAAUUUAGGUAGGUUCUUUUUAUAGAAAAAAAAUAGGUAAAUCAAUUGAGUCUUAACUCGAUUGGCAUGGUAUUAUUGUCAAAAAAAAAACCAAAUAUAAUUAGAACCUAUUUAUGGGUUGGAGAGGGACUAUGGGUAGUUUUAAACAUUAUGUCAAAAAGAACAGAUAUGAUCAAAAUCUAUAACAAGAUUAAUAAAAAAAUUGAGUAAAGUUGGAUUUCACAAAUUAAAACUUGAAAAUUAUUAUAUAACUUAAUUUUAUUGGAAAAUUAUUAUAUGAUAUUUAAAUUAUUUUUAAAUAUCAAUUAAAAAUAUAUCAUAAUUAUUUAAUUCAUAUAUAGAAUUAAAAUAUUUUCCUAUUGAUGUACCAAAUAAUUAGGUUAUACUAUUAUCUCUUUAAAAAUGACAAAUUUAAUUAACAUUAAAUAUAAGAUAAAUACCUUAAAAAACUCUCCUACGAAAUAAUUAUAUUUUAUAUUUAAAAAAUUAAAUGAUAAAAAUGUGGGUCAAAAUUGGAUUCGAUUCACAUUAAAUUUGAAAUAAAUUCCAUAUACGAAAAAUAAGAAUAAUUAUUUUUUUAGAAAAAAAAAAGAAGAAGCAUCAGAUGCGAUACGGCAGAGUUUUGUUGGACCAUUUUUCCACUAUAAAAUAAUUUUAAUAAUAAAGUAAGUUAUAAUUAUUGUUAAAAUGCAUAAAUAAAGUUACAUAAAUGUUGAUUAAGACCGAGAUGCCCCUUCUAAUCUAGCGUUAUACACACGCACGCUAAAUGCGGUCCAUUUUUUUUUUUUUUUUGAGAUUUUUUUUUUUACUCCACGUUGAAUAUUAUAGAAAUUCGAGGCAAGUUUAAAUAAAAUUGAUCAUGACCCACGUGAAGUUAAGCCCAAUCAAAAUCUUAGGUUCAUUUGUUAGGUUUUUGUUCGGCUUGGGCCCGAAAAAUAGGUUUGAAAGAAUUUGCUCAAGUUCAAUCUAGAUAAAAAAUAUUAAUUUUUUUUAAAAAAAUAUAAUACAUCAAAAAUACUAAAAGUAUUAAAAUAUACGUUUCCUAAUAAAUUGAUAAUAAAUUAAAAAAUAUAUAUACACUUAAAUAACACUAAUAUAGGUGCAACUUAACAAGUAAAUGCCUCUAAAAUCAGAGGUGAAGCUAGGGGGUUGACAGGGGCCCGACCCCCCUAAAAUGAAAAAAUAUUAUUUAGGCCCUUUAAAAAAUUUUAAAAUUAUUAAUUAGUAAAUGUAAAAUUACACUUUAGUUCCCCUAAAAUUAUAAAAAUUUAAUUUAAUCCUUUAAAAUUUAUAAAGAUAUAUUAUAGACUAUAAAAAACUAAAAUUUCAUUCGGCCCCCUAAAAAAUUGUUCUGCCUUCGCCCCUGUCUAAAAUAGUGACAAAAUUAACAAUAAACCAAUAAUUAUACAAUAUCCAAACAAUAACAACAAAAUAGUUACAACAUGAUAGGGAAACAAUAACAAAAUAGUAAAAAAACAACAACAAGAAGAAAACAACAAAAACACAACAGUUUUUUUUUUUUUUUUUUUACAAAUUCGGGCUAGGUCGAGUCGAGUUCAAGCCAAAAAAGCAUUACUCGAGACUCAACCCAUUUUCUAAACAAGGCCUUAUUUUUUGUUGCCCAAGCCUAUUUUUUGAGCCUAUAUAUUUAUUCAAACCCUCCCACUUUUUGAGUCGGGCCACAAGUCUAGGACCAAGCUACUUUGUUUAAUUUUUUUUCUCUAGUAUAAUGAUUUAUUUUACCUUUUAAUUUAAUUUUAGUCCUUUAUUUUAUUUUUUACUUUUUAAUUUUAUUUUUAACCUUUAAACUUGUAUUAUUUGUUAAAUCACCCAAAAUAGAUGGAAAAUUAACAUCAAUUAAAAUUUUAAGUUUUAAAUAUUUCAAAAAAUUAGUAAAAUUAUUAAAAAUAUAUAAAAUAUCUUUAUUUAAAAAAACUAAUUGCUAACAUGGCAAUCCACGUGUUUGCCACAUUAGCAAAGUUAACAAACGUUAACUUUUUCAUACAUUUUGGGGUGAUUUGACAAAUAAUAAAAAAUGAAGUGCUAAAAUGUUUUUUUUUUGUAAAGUUAAAGGGUCAAAUAAGUUAUUAUGUCUUUUUAAAAAAAAUUAAAUAGAGUAAACAACCUUACUUGUUAACUCAAUCGUUAAGGCACUUUCAUUUGGAUCAUAUAAAAAAAAAUUCUUUCAGUUUCAUAACGGUUGUUAGAGAAAAUUUUUAUUUUAGUCACUCAACCAUUAACUUUAUUACAACUUCCGACUUAACCCUUAAUAAUUGAGUGAAUAAAAUAAAAUAAAAAUUCUAAAGGGGAUGACGAAAUCGAAAGGAUUUAUUUAUGAGUGGCUAAAAUGAAAGUGCCUAAUAUAUCUUAAAAUUAUUUUAACACAUAAUAUUAAUACAUUUUGUUGGAUUGUAGUAGUUUUUUUUUUUUUUGAAUAAUAUCAUUAUAGGUUCUGAUAAUAUCUGUUCUUUUAGACAUAAUGCCAAGAACUACUCAUACUCCCUCCCCAACCCAUAAAUAGGAGGAUAAUGCGCUUGGCUACACUCGAAUUCACUUUCUCCUACAUUGACAAUAAUGCCCAUAUCAAUCGAACUAAGCCUCAAUCGGUAUUUAUAUUGGCCCUAACAUAAUAUUAUUAUUUCAAUAAAAAUGACAUAGUUUUAUAAUCAGCAAGUAAAGAAAAAGAUUCAACAAACACGUCCAACUUAAUUAAUUUAAACAUUUACUUAAUUUAUCUCCCCUACGAAGAUAGACCUUUUUUAUUGCAUGCAAUGCUUCAUUAAAUAUUGCAUAUAACACUUCAUUUUACAGUACACCCUACGUACUUCAAGGAUGAUGUGGAGCAAACGGCGGCAACGGCGGCCAUUUUCCGAACUUGGGGUGGUGGAAAUACUUGGGAGGAAGCUUGGGAAGCGGAGGGCACGGCUUCUUCGUAAAUGGAGGAAUCUUCGGAAGAGGAGGAAGUGGCUUGUGAGGAAUAGGAGGGAAGGGUUUCGGUUUGUAAAUAGGAACCGGCGGUGGAAGCGGCUUCUUAUAAACCGGCACCGGAUGAGGCUUAUAAACCGGUGGUUUGUAGACAGGAACCGGCGGUGGAAGCGGCUUCUUGUAGACCGGCACCGGAUGAGGCUUAUAAACCGGUGGUUUGUAGACAGGAACCGGCGGAGGGAGUGGUUUCUUGUAGACCGGCACCGGAUGAGGCUUAUAAACCGGUGGUGGAAGAGGUUUCUUGUAGAUGGGAGGGUGAGGGUAAUGAUGGUGGAAGUUUUUCAAUGGCGGAAGUGGUGGAAGCUUAGGCAAUGGAGGGAAGUUGUGGUGGUGGUGAGGCCAAAAGGAGGCUGAGACACAUGUUAUUGGUGAGAAUUUGAGGUUCUCUUUUAACCCAAACUGGUGUUUCUGGUCGGUGGUGGAUUUGAAAACUAGCUUAGAGGAUUCUAAGCCAUUAAUGGAAGGGCAAGGUUGAGGUGAUGAUACAGUGCGAAGCUGUGCGUAGCAAUGUUCAUUCAAUU
rnacentral:lncRNA from 1 species